GAUGGAGUAGUACUUUUGCCGCACUUGCUUGCCACUCUUCCAGCAAACUCAGCAGAUAUCUUCCCAAUUCCAUCAGAGAAACAAUAUUUAACUCCACCUGUUUCAGUUUCCACAUCAGGAAUGAAUUCGAUUUCAUCCUUACCAACGUCAAAAGUCUCCCUUGAAGAGCUGAAAGCCUGACCCAACCUGGCAGCAUGUUUUGCUGCAUUUUUUAUGUCACUAAAAUCACCCAUCCAAUUUCUGAUGUCUUGUGCAGUCAACCCACUUCUAGAAGCAAACAUCCACACAGAAUGCUCUCGUAAUUGACUCGACGAAUGGGCAAGAAACUCAAACUUCUUUUCACCAAUGACUAAGCCAUUUCUUAGAGUAGAAAGUAUCCUUUCAUAAACUCCAGUUCUCCUUUCCUCUUCUGUAGCAGUUGUAGAAUUUGUCCGUGGACAUAAAUCUCCUGAACGCAUCUUACCCAUGUCCUCAUCCACGAAAGAAACACGAAGGAAAUUAUCAACAUCUUCAGGAUAAUUUCGCAAAACACGAUUGGAUACAUUUGCCUCUGGACCACAGAAGUAAACUUUAGAUGGUGUUACUUGAACCCUGUGCACAUACACCAUCCCAUCAUCUAAAGAAAUAGCUGGCGACUGAGGAAUUCGCUUGCAUGCCAUGUACUCUUUGUACUGCUCAGUAAGCCAACUCACAGGCUCAUAGCAGCACCCUUUUAACCGAAACAGCUUGUCCAGGGCACACUCUAUAUAUUCAAUUCUUAUUAUGCUAGGAUCCACUAGCUCAUAAAAAUUGACAUCAAGUGCUUGCCCAGGAACACAUCCAUGCUGAACCAAGGAAUUUAUCUUAAAAAGGAUUUUGUAUGGCAAGUUAAUGCCAAGGGGUGGACCCACGAUAGGAACCAGAUCUGAAGUACAGGAGAAAGUGUUGCCGCUCUCCAGAACCAACCACCCUUCAUUUUCUUUAUAAUGAGCAAAACUCUUGCGUAGAUUUGGAAGCUCACAAGUAGGUGGAAGCUCCAAACAUACAGCAGAAGAUUGCCCAAUGCAGCGUGAAGGAGUGAAAUCAACUUCUCGAACCCACCCAUUUUGAGAAGCUUUCUGGAAUAUCCGAGGGGCACCAAGUAACUAGCAAGAAAAAGAAGAAAGAAGGAGCACAAUGUUAGUCAUUUGCCCUAAGUUCCAGACAUAAUAUAGUAAUUCUGCUAUGCUAUAAGGAACACAAUAGUCUGUCUCAACAACGUUCAAAUUCUCGCCGAAACAAUGAAGUUAUAGUGUCUGAGAAAUUUGACAUGAGAUCAGAUUAUCAUGUAGGAACUAGUGAAUGGAAAACAUCUUAUUCAAGUAUCUGCUGCAAUUGGAAAACAUCUUAUUUGUAUAUUUCAUGGCAAAAUGCAAAGUCAUGAUUCACAAAUUCUGUAGUUUAACUGGCAAACCUGGAUUAGAAGAAAGUUUGGAAGUUGGCCACGUGGAUGAUGUAGCUCAAUCUGGCGAAUACUUUCAGAGGAGAUCUCUAGCUUGUAUUCAACAGCAUCAAGAGAUAACAAUAAGUAAAUAUUUUUAAAUUCCUUCCCGAAUUUCACUGAAACAUCCAAUGCUGUCCAAAGCACAGAAAACUGUCCCUCAGAAAUCAGGCAUCCCAAGUGCAGCUUGACAAGUUCCAUGCUAUGUUCAAAGUUUUGAAGCUUCAAUUUUCUAGCUGUUUCAAAGUACAAAUAGAAACUAAUGACUCAGAACUCAUUACAACUUCUCUUUGCAUAAAUUACUUGAAAAGGCAAAGGCUUAAUUACUACUGAAAGCAAGCAAGAAUUUCAAAAGGGAGUUUGAAACCAACUCUCGGAAUUUAAUGACAGAGCUGACAAUUAUCUAAAUUACAGGACAAAGUGUUACCUCUCUCCAGAAUGAACGGUCCUUCGUUUUCUUUAUAAUGAACAAAACUACUGCGUAGAUUCGGAAGCUCGCAACUUGGUGGAAGCUCCAAACAUACAGCAGAAGAUUGCCCAAUGCAGCAAGUAGGAGUGAAAUCAACUCCUCGAACCCACUGCCUUCUGGAAGCUUUCUUAAAAAUCCGAGGAGCACCAAUUAACUAGUAAGAGAAAGAAGAGAGGAAGAGAAAAAUGUUAGCAAUUGGUAAAUAUGCGCAAACUAGUAGAACUUAAAACAGUUAUCCAUGUUUUUCAUUUAAAUUUUAACUGUUGGGCAAACCUGGAUGAGAAGAAACUUUGUAAGUUGACCGCGUGGAUGAUGUAGCUCAAUCUGGCUAACAUUUUCAGAGGUGAUCUCAAGCUUGUAAUCAAACGAAUCAUAAGAGAAGAACAAGUAGAUGUUCUUAAGUCCCACCCCAAAUUUCACCAAAACAUCCGAUCUUGCCCAAAGCACAGAAAACUGUUCCUCGGAAAUCUGGCAUCCCAAGUGAAGUUGUACAAGUUCCAUGCAGUGCUCAAAGAUUUCUGACUUGGGCACCAUGUCAAACUUCGCUUUUCUAGCUUUCAGAUAAGAUUUAUUGUACCACAGGCUUCGAGCAUCGGCUAAUGGAAUUAUGAUACCAGCAAAUUUUGCAUCUGUGAACUGAACUAUGGCAAGUGUUCUUGAUUUUCCAUCUUUGGGAGGAAGAAACUUUAUAGCAUGAACAGUCCCUUCUCCAGUAUAUGCCUCCAGAAAUUCUGUCACUGCUGCUGGAGACUCGCUGGAGGAAAAUCCAUACAAUUGAAUUGUCUUAACCAUUUUCGUAAUGUUGAUGGCAACUGCUGCAGAUUCAACGUACAAAUUGAUAUUAAUAAUAGCAUAAAGAAAAACCAAUUCUCCAAAGUAAAUAACUGAGCUCAAAAAAAUUAAGUAAACAGAAUGCAGAACAGAAAGCAAGGGCCUGGCAUUUCAAUUUUCAAGCAAAUGCAAAUGAGAAAAAAGUCUGACCUUGAAUUUUUGGAAUGUAAGCACUGAGAUACUGAGAUACGACCAAAGGCUGCUGUGUAAGAAGCAAAGCUCAUGAAGCCACUACAUAUAUAGGGAAAACAAGCACACUGUACAUAACUUGCCAUGGCAGUUGUAGCAGGGAAAUAAAAUCUCAAACUUGGCAUUGCAGUUUUAGCAGCGAAGAAAAAAAACUUGUCAUGGCAGUUGUCCUAUUGGCGCCAAUCAGUAGAAUAACGACUGCCGCGAUCCCCUGCUUCGCAGCAAUGACAUAACAUCCUAAUGCAAAGAUUACGUGGCGAGGAGACACUUUCUUCAAAAGGGGAAGGUAUCAAAUUGUAUUGUGACGCGUCGCAACAUAACGAUGGACAAGUAGUGCUACACAGUAUUAACAAUUUUAUUUUUUUUCACUACUCAUUUGACUUUUAUUAUUUUAUCUAUAUAACGUAAAUGUUUGCCUAUCUUGUAACGUGACACCACGUGAGAAGAGACAUAUGGAUACACCCCGCUUUGUAUAAGUUUUACUUUUAUAAGAUAGUCAAUAAUGUCGUUCAUAUAUGUUUGUACAUUUAUUUGCAUUAAAAAUACUUUUGAGAUUAAAUGUACUUAAAAGUUCAUAAAUCAAAUUUGUGUUAUGGUGGUAACUCUUAAGUUAGCUUAAGGAGGGUGAAUCAAGCUGCUAGUUAAAAUGAAACUAAACAUUUGGCCAAGAACCUUCUGGAAGUUUUUGACUCGACCAGACAUAAGGUCUUAGUGCUUGGGAGAAGUCUUGGCUAAGAAUCUUCUAGAAUCUCCCAUUGCCAAUUAGCAGUGGGCACCUAUACUCUCCAUGAUGGGGAAUCUUUGUCGUUACCCCUUGAUGAACAAGGUUAGAAACAGUAAUGUAUCAAUAGAAUAGAGUAUAUGGAGUACUUUUUGAAAUAUGGAACUUGUUAGGAAAGGGGUUAGACGGUGGAGCCAUCCAUGAUCCACCAAUCACAAACCUAGUUGGGACUGUUUUAAAAUUGCAUUAGCAAUUUUUGUUCUAAAGUUCUCAAGUAUAAUAUUUUCCAAGAACCUUCGAACCAAUCAUGAUGUGUUAGUCCUCCUUGGGAGAAGUUUUGGCAAAGAAUGUUCUAGAAUCUCACAUGGGAAAUGGGCUGGGAAACUUUGCCCCUUGCUGAGCAAGGUUUUGGACCAGAGAAGGAGAGAGCGUAUACUAGAGACUGAGUGAGGAUGAAUUAGAAUAAGUGCUUUGUCUAAAAGCAGUAAUAGAUUAGAGUAUUUUAGGGGACUUUUUGGAAAGAUGGAACUUGCUCCAAAAGGAGUUAUGUGGAGCCAUCCACUAGUCACCAUCCUAGUUAGUAGGCCUGUUUCUUUCAUGCAGCAUUUGGGAAGAAAACUGUUAAAUGGGUUGAUUGCCAAAUUUGGACAAUUAAUCCGUAUGAAUAUUAAACAAAUUGUUAACCACCUAGCAAGUGCUUUCAUAUGAGCUUCUCAUGUCACAAACUUCUUUUUCUAAAUUAUUCAUGAUCAACUAAGCUGGUGAUUUAAGGCGUUCAUAUCUGCAGGCUUGAAAAACUUCCCUUGCUAAUUAAAUCUACACUAGUUUGUGUACUUCAAGAAAGCAAGAGAGUGAAAUUCUUUUGGCAUACAACAUUCAGAACAGCACACAUACAAUUUGUUCUCUUAAAAUACAAGAUUAUCAUAACAAAACUCCCCUCAAAAUGGAAGGAUAUUAUGCUAAUACUUGCACUUGAGAAUGACAUUGUUUUAUUAAAAAUUAGAAUAAUUACUAAUAAGCUUGAUAUCUUAUUCUACAAAAACAGCUUGAAUUUGCUGGAGCUCAUCUCGUGUCCACAUCUGCAGACUAAAAUAGAAUCAACUCAAAUCACUUCAUCUUUAAUCGCAAAUAGAUUUAUACGGUGAAACCUGUUUCACGAUUGGAAUUAAGGUUCAACUAUAGCAACAUCUCAGCAAUCUGAACAUCAUUAGUAUAUUUUAUUUUAUAUAUAUAAUCAUUCUAUAUGUUAUGUUGGGCGACAAUAUUUGGCUCAUGAUUGUUAUUUGGGCCUAGUGCUACGGCUUGAUUCAAACUUUUGCGCACGAAAACAAAUUGUUUGACGAAUAUUGUUAUUUGGGCCUAGUGCUAAUUCCUCCCUACCCGAAAAUUGUCAAGAAAUAAAAAUAGGUAGAUAUGAAGCAAAAAGACCAAGGAAAAGAAAAAGGGGAAGAAGAAAAAAAACAUAGAAAAGAGAGAGAAGGAAUCAACAAGCCAGGAAAAGAGAAAAAACAAAAAAGGGGAGAGAGAGAGAGAGGAGACAGGAAUAAAAGUGGUAAGCAGUCACGUGAUUAGAUAUAAGUGGUAUUGAACUCUCUAUAAUUAUGUUGAAUUGAGUAAAAAUUUUUGGACACCCAAUUUUUCACUACACCUGAGCCCAAUUUAUUGUACACUAGAGCCCAGUUUUUUUAGCAAUAGAUGCUAAUUGUUUUUACAUGUACUAAUUGAUUUAUAUUUUUUUUUCAAAAUCCAUUUGGUUCAUAUUUGAUGGAUAAUAAUAACAUGAUGGAUGCAAUAUCAAUUUUGCUAUUUAUAUUAUUUUAAUCAUUAUAUCGGUGCUAUACAUGUAUCUAAUUUUUGAAAAUUUUCCGUAUUGACGUACCCAUACUCAUAUCCAUACAACGUGUAAGUUCCACCUACUCAACUUCCAAAUCCUUGAUCCGCCACUAGUUAGCAUAAUCCAACGAUUAAGAGAUAUGAUCUCACCUAAGUGUCUUACCUAAGGGCCAUAUACAAGGCCCUCACUAUAGAAUGACUUACAGGGCUCCGAGUAUCUUAUCCCCAAUAUAAUAACAGGCCCAAAUUAGUAAUCUCUAACUAACAAUAGUUUUUGCGAAAUUCUUGUUGAGGCCCAAAAAAUCCAAAGGUAGGCCCAAAUAUAUUUAUAGCCCAGUACGACACAUAACUUGGGAAGAAACCCAAUUUGGAUACGCAAGAGUUCAUCAUAUGAACUUGCACACGUGCCACGCCAAGCAAAUAAGCAACACACCACGCUACAAGCUUAAGUGGGCCCAAGCCACGUGAAUGUUUGGGGCUUGCUGAGCGGGUUGUGGUAUGGAUAGUUACGAGUUUUCAUGAGGCCUAUUGAUGAGUCGAGAAAUUGAACUUUUGGGCUGCUUUGGAGCCCCAAAAACUCAAGCCCAUUUCUUGAGCCCAAAUAUGUGGGUAAGCAUAAAAGAGAGAAAAUGGUAGCUUAUUAACCUAUAAAAUUAGCCAAUCACCUUAGUAAAAAUAGUCCAUUGGCUCAUCCCCUUAAUGAACUAGCCCAUUACUUUAAAGAAUGGCCCAAGUGACCAACAAAAUAUCUGAAAGUCUCCAGCACAUGGCUGGAGACAAAACCACGACAAAAGCAAAAGGCCACUCUCGUCUGCAGGCUGCUGGGAGUGUCCAGCACAUGGCCAAAGAUAAAUCCCAACACAAGCCAUCCAAAAAUCAAAGGAUACUUGAGCAAAACACCAUCUAGACUAGUGCCAUUACCCACUCAUUUCUCAUACCAGCUCAUGCCAUGAAAUAAAGGAGGAAAGAAUGAGAUAUGGUAGCCAAAGAUAGGAGAUUGCCACAGGAAUAGCUACGAGAAGACUCUAAAGCUCCCAAAAAUCUUGUCUCUGUGUAUUUGGAUUUAGGGAGAUUUCAUAAAAAGAGGUUGAAUCGAAGGAAGAGAAAAGAAAUGGAGGAGAAGACUUGGCUGAAAUUGGAGAGAACCCGUUAGGGUUUCUUGGGAAGAAGAAGCUUUCAGCGCCUAUAAAAGGAGGCACAUUCUACCCAACAAGACAACUCAUCGAAGGCAAGCAAAUAUAUCCAAAGAGAGCAAGCAUCACCUCUCAUCUCUAGAACCCUUCGAUUUCAAGCCAUGUUCUUCGAUUGCUUCCCUUUUUUCUCUUAUGUCAAGCCACCCAGAAGCCUGACGAAGCUUUCGUCAAGCUGCUGGAAAUAUGCUAAAGCCACCCAUGCUUUCAUCUUCUUCCUCUAUUUCCCAUAAACACACAUCCAGAGAGCAAGCUUGAUCUCUCAUCCCUUAAACCUCUGCAAUUUCGAGCCCCAUUCCUCUAUCUUCUCCCAUUUUCUCCUCUGAUAAAUCGUUCCAGAGCUUUCGUCAAAUUGCCGGAAACAACUGAACACACCCAUUGUUAUUCCCCCAUCUCUCUCUCUCUCUCUCUCUCUCUUCAACGAAUCCUUUUAGAAUCCCUUCCCCAUUGCCUUAAAAUCUCUGUUUCUCAUAGGAAAUUGCGGAUCUUUCUCUCUCUCAUGCUAAACUCAUGAAUGCUUAGCUCUCAUGCCACAAGCUUCUCAUGCCAAGCUAAGCAUUUAUUUGUAAGCGACUGUUGGUUUUAUUGGUGAAGAAGACCAAGGUAUUUCCUAAGACUCAGCUACCCUUUCGAAACACUCUUGGGGUCUGAUCCUUGAACUCAAAUUCAAAGGGCAAUUUCAUACAUUGCUCUUUACAGCAGCCCAGGCCCAUUAGUAGCUGCCGGAACAAAAAAGCCCAUACAAUUCUAUAAUAAGGCCUUCAUAUAUGGACCUUAGAAACAGACUACACAUCUCCAAAAAGUUGUAUUUGAUAAUGAAAGAAUUUAACAAAAUCAAAAUAAUUGAACAGAAGUCAUCACCUGAAGACCAUAUAUAUGGAGCUUAUUAUAGAACGACUCCAAUAGUUUUACAGUGGAUCCAUUGGGUCAAGACAUUAGGCCUGUGGCUUCCCAUUGUCGGAGUACAAAAUUAUUUUGACCUCAAUCUAUGAUUUAAGCACUAUUGUAACUUCCAUCACAUCAUAAAAAAUUGAAGCACUAUUACACAAAGGUUAAAUAAUAAUAAUAAUAAUAAUAAUAAUAAUAAUAAUAAUAAUAAUAAAAGAAGGUAGAAUUACAGACCGUGAAAGACAAAUUUUAUCAAAACAUUUUGCUGAAAAAAAAAAAGUUAGAGCAUGAAAGCAAUAUAGCAGGAAGUAGGAUGAGAUUCCAAUUAUUCAGCUUCAGCGUCCUGAACUUCAAUUUGCUUUAGAUCGAGCAGAAAGCUGAAGUUAUUAUGUAUAUGCCAACUUGAAAGCCAAAUUAAAAUCAAAGUUAGGAACUUGCAGUCUAAAUGACAUAAUCUUUAUCCUUAAAUAGAAUGAUGUUGUCUAAUAAAUAAAUAAAUAAAUAAAGAAAACUAAACGCUAGCAUCAUUGGUUUAUUCAUUGAGGCAAAUUUUCUUUGAAUUAAUUCCCAGUUAUAUAUACAAAGGUGGAAUCUAAGCUACUACCAACAUCAAUCAUAAAUCACUAUUACUAACAUCAACUUUUGAGCUUUAAGCAAACUACCCAAGCUGACAAGUUAAUUUAUAACACUUCUCUUCUCCAAAGCAUAAACUUCAGCUCACUUAGCAACGAAAUUUUUUGCAGAACUUACCUCAGAUUUGGAUUUGGAUGUGGAUUUGAAUGACGGGUCUAACGGUGCAAAGAAGAUGCUAGGGUAACAAAAUAUUAUAUUAUAUAUUUAUUAUUUAAAAAUAAACAUAUAAAUAUUGGGCCAGGUUCGAGGACGGGGAUGUCAAUACCAUCCCCGCCCCAUACUCGAUUGGAAUUUUUUAAAUUCAGGGAUUCCCAUAUCCAAUUCUCGUUUUGCCCUGAAAUCUCGCCCCGUUAAGGCCGGGUCCUCGUCGUAUCUCCGCCCCAACGGGGAUUUCUACCAUCCCUAAUUGAGCCUUGUUAUUUUUAAAUCCAUUUUUUGGUAAGUUUUAUUUUAUAGGUCCAUUUUUGGGUAAAUUUUAUAUGUCCAUUUUUAUUCAUCUGUUUUCCUAAUUUUAUGCUUCAUUUUCUCUUGACUUUAAACAAAAUAAAAAAUUAAGUCAGACCAUAUGAUUUGUGGCAGUUUUAGCCUAUGGCAGGCUGGGCUCAUGCCCAGCCGAAAUUUGUGUUAAAAAAAUAUUACCCACACUCUUCUCUCUCCUCUCUUCUGUAACAUCCCACAUCGACCAACAGAGAGGGGGUGAUGUGCCUUAUAUGUACAUGCCCGUGUCCAUCUAGUAUAAUGCCUUUUGAGAGCUCACUAGCUUCGAAGUAAUAGGAACUCCAAAGUUAAGCGAGUUGGGGCUAGAGCAAUUCCAGGAUGGGUGACCCACUGGGAAAUUGCUCGUAAGCUCCUAGAAACAAAACCGUGAAGGCAGAGAGGGGGCCAAAAGCGGACAAUAUUGUGCUACAGCGGAACUGAUCCCGGGAUGUGACAAUUUGAUAUCAGAGCCACUCUGCCGUGUGGUGCGAGUGUGCCGACGAGGAUGUCGGGCCCUUGAGGGGCGGUGGAUUGUAACAUCCUACAUCGACCAACGGAGAUGGAGUAAUGUGUAAUGACCCAAACCUAAAAUUCACAUGUAAUUAGUAAUUUAUUAUGCGGAAAGACAAUUACAAGGGAAACUCUGCCGGUUUUCGGUAGAAGUCAACCUUGUUAUUUUAUCGUGUUAGAAGGGCAAAUAGGUCUUUUGUGCCCGACAUUUGCCAGGUGUCGGACACGCACAGGGUCUGACUCGAAUUCCAAAGCAGAAUUUGGGUCGGGUCCUGUCAUAAUGUGCCUUAUAUGUACAUGUCAGCCUCCAUCUAACACAAGGUCUUUUGGGAGCUCACUGGCUUCGGAGUCAUGAGAACUCCGAAGUUAAGCGAGUUGGGACUAGAGUAAUCCCAGAAUGGGUGACAUCUCCUCUUUUGCCCAGCCCAAAUUUUUGUUUAAAAAAAAUAUUACUUACACUCUCCUCUCUCCUCUCUGUCUCUCUUUUUUCGUUCUUUUCCUUCUCUCUUCUCUCCCUCUUUUUUUCUUUUUUUUCCGUUCUUUUCCUUUUCUCUUCUCUCCCCCUCUUUUUUUGUCUUUCUUUCUUUUCCUUCUCUCAUCCCUCCUCUCUUUUUCUUCUAUCUUCUCUCCAGUCUCUCUUCUUCUCUCCCUUUCUUAUUUCUUCCUUUUCCUUCUCUCUUUUUUGUUAGAAAAAUAUUAUCUACGUUACUUAUGAUUAUUAAAUUUUUUUGUCUCGCACAAAGAUAGCUAUUUCAAAAAUUAUGGAACAUGAUUGAUAGGGCUAUGGAGCUCGGGGUGGAAAGCCAAAAACGGAUGUCAUAAUAGACGUUUAUAAAAGGAAACAAGGAGAAAUGAGGUCACAACUCGUUAAAAAAAAAAAAAAAAAAAAACUCUGCCAAUUUUCUUCCUUCUCAUUUCUCUCGAUAUAAACCCGGCUUUUUUUUUAAAUUAAUGUAGUCCCUUAUUUUAUCUUUCUUUUUAAUGUGAAAUAAAUUUUUUUUCUUUUAAUUUUAAUUUUGAUUUUAAUUUUAGUUUUUGUAUUUGUAGAUAUAGAUGCGUUUGAGGGUAAGGCUUAUUACUUCUCCCCUCACUAUGUAAUUUUUUUUUUAUCUUUAUUAAUGAAAUUUACUAUUUUCGUCAAGUUUAUUAUAUAAAUUUUGCCCAAUCAACUUUCGAAUCAUGGAACCGCAGCUGCAUAUGCUGGGUAGACAAUAAUUGAUGAGUUUAAGCCGACCAAAGAAAAGGAGUUUUUAUUAAAAAAAGAAAAAGAAAAAGGAAUCACAUUAUAAAAAAAGAAUAAGAAAAAAGAUAUCAAGUAGGUUGCUUAAACUCUUCAAACACCAGGAGCAGAAGAAGGUGUAGAUAUGGGCAUGAAGCAUAUGCUGAAGCUUGCCACGUUGCAAAUACGAAUGCGGGCAUUUCCACGAGCCUACAGACACAAAAGUAACGUAGGCAUAUCGACCAAAAAAAGAGAGUCACGUAGGCACAUAUACAACCUCCUCAACCGUAUAACCUAACGCGUUACGUAUUCUUUUACCCACUUCAUAAAAGUUUUCACCCCAUAGUUGGUUAAUAUUUCGACAGUGCCCUCGCAUUAGUCCUCCCUGGACUCCUCUUUCGUCUACAUAGAAGAUCACGAUCCACGUUGUCGAUUGCAAAGUAGGAGACGCAGUCCUUUGUCUACGACUUUCGACGUAAUACUCAACUUUCAUUUCAUGCUUAUCAUAAAAAAGAUUGCAUGCUUAUCAUAUUUAUUAUGUAUUUCACGCAUCUUAAUUGCUCAUGCAAGUCUCUUAAUGGGUAAAUUCAUACAAUAUCAGGCAAUUUCGCAUAAAAAAUAAACAAGCGAAUCUCUCAUGAAUUCGUAAGAGAUAUCUUUCCAAUAGUUUUUGUGAUACAUAUUUCACAUAUAUUUGACUAAAAAAGUAAUUAAGUUUCCUUAAUAAGUUAAUCUUCGUGCACUUAAUUUGGACCAUGUCUAUUAAGAAAAACUUAGUUGCAACAAGGAUAGCAAAACGUUGCUACUCCCAACCAAUAAUGCUACAUUACACGUGUGUCAAAACAUUAUUGGUCAGGAUAACAAAAUAGUAAUUUUCUCGUUUUAUAGACCUCCCUUAAAGUCAAGUGAAGCCAUCUUUGGAAAUUCCUUUUUUUCUUUUCAUAAGGACAAAGGGUUAAACAUAUUCGUCAUUUUCUUCUAGUUCACAAGAAUCAUCCAUUUGCCCUAAUUUCACAAUCAUCAAAAAGAAACUUUAUGAUCACCCCAUUCUCCAGAAAAAAGAAAUGUAUAACUUGGCCUCACCCCAUUCUCCAGAAAAAAGAAAUGUAUAACUUGGCCACUAAGUUUCUAGUGUCUAUCCAAUCCAAUCAAGCCAAGUCCAAGGUAAAAUUUUCAUACAUAUUCAUCCUUUCUUUUGCUGGCAAAAAUUUCAUUGGAUUUUAGCCAAUCUUAGAAUUCUUGAGACGGGAAAGGAAAACAAAUCCAAGGCAAAUAAAGUUAUAUGCAUUAAUUACCUUGAUUUGGUACAUGUUUAUACCUAAAUUAAAAGCAAAUCCAGUCAAAUGAAGAAAUCCUUGAAACAAGUGUGGAAAGGCCGGUCGCUUGCCCAGGCACCCAACCACCUAUACCCUCUCUCUCUCUCUCUCUCUCUCUCUCUCUCUCUCUCUCUCUCUCUCUCUGUGGGACUUGCCAUUGUUCUUUGACCAAAGAUGACCCAAAUUGUAAGUGUCUGCAUUAUAAGACCAUUAAUCAAAUUAGUCAUGACGAUGCCUACCCUCCAAUAGUUGCCAAAGAAAAUUAGGGGGUCAUUUGACCCACUCCACCAAUAAGAAGAGAAAUAAAUAAAAAGGGUCGAGUGUGCCCAACCACCAUGGUCAAUAUGGUAAUGUUGAUCCAAGUUUAAAAGGGGUACGUUUGGGAGAGCCGUCUUAAAAUUGAUUCAUACGAAGAAAGUCAAUUACUGUUAAUAGUGCCCUUGAGCCGCAGCACCUUCCUUUCUGCAAAUACCUUCCUUUUUCACUGCUCAUGAAGAAAUCGUGUCUUUUUCGUUUCUCUCCGUAUUUAAAGUAUUCAAUACAUUCGUAACUCUUCAAGAAAACAGAUACACAAGGCCUAAGGUGUGAUCAAUUUCUUGACGCCCUAAGCAACCAAAAAACAGAAAAGAGCUUGUGUUGUGCGAGCCUUCUUGUGAAGCUAAUUUGGCCAGAGAUAUGGAGCACAACAACAUCAACACAGACGAAAACAACAGCAACAACAGGAACAUGGAUGAAGAGGGCAGCUACAUGGGUGUUCCAAUUCACAGCCAAGUGAUGAAGAUCAAGCAAGAGUUUGAGAAAAUCAAGCACCCGUCUCUGGAGCAGCCUGCAGAGCUGCGACUGAGACGAGUCCUUCUCCGCCAGAUUACUCGCCAGCGUUCGCGUUCUCCGCUGGGAUUGGCUGCAUAGGGAGGGAGGGAUAGGGGUUGCCCUGCCUCAGCUUGCAUGGUUAUGGUGGCGACGCUUUAGAGAUUAACUUUUUUGCUUUUUGUUGUUUUUUUUAUAUUACUGUUUUUCUUGCUUUCUGGUUUCUACCACAGCAACCAUGAGAGUUUUGGUUUUUUGGGGUUUUACUAGUUUAGUUGUACAGGUAGGAGUUGGUGGGAAUCUCAAAGGCAUAGCGAAACUUAACGUUUCUUGGUUAAUUUCUAUGAUUAGAUUCCUGUAAGUUUUGCAGCUAUGAUCUCAUACAUCAUAUUUUCGUUCUACCACUAGACUUUCCUUCUUUAUCUAUGUGUUUGUCAUGCGCAUGCACAUGAACAACAACCACCACACAUAGAACCUAAUCACAUUUUGAGGAUUAAUCUCUGUCCUUUGUUUUUCUCAUAAGAUCUUGCGGAAUUUUCGAAAUGUUCACCAACCCUGUAAUGUUUAUCGAGUUUUAAAGCUGUGACUAUUAAUACUAGAAAACCCAGUAUAUUCAAACUUCUAUAAAGAUAAUACCCAAAUUACUAAAGAUCAGAAAGUAAUUGCAAAACAAAGUAGCAGAAAAGAACGAAGGCAACAAACAUGUAUAAGAGACAGUUGUGUGCUCUUUGAUAAAAUAAAAAAAAUACAGUUGCGUGUGCAGACAUGCCACCUUUAGGAUGAUCCCUCUACCACAACAAUUUAGCCUUGAGCAGUGGCUGUUUCUUUUGAUGCUAGUAAUUUCACCCUCCUUGUCAGAUCUCUCAUCACAUCUAUAAUGACAGAUUUCUUCUCAAUUCGGAACUGGAUAGCCAACUGAGUAGAAUCUGAAACACCCUUUUGCAACAGGGACUCAUCCUCCAUGAUUUUGGUUGGGAAGUGUCCCAGUGCAAUCACACAUAAUGCAAUAAUGGUGCGAAAAGCAGCUAACUCAUUUGCUAUACCAAUGGGAGCUUCAACUGAAAUAGAUUUAAGUUUAUCUAAAUCAAGCUUCUGAACUGUUUCCAUGUCACUGGCAAGAACAACUCUUAAGGCUGCCAACAAGCGCCCCUCCACCAACUCCGAACCCCCUAAGCAUACCUAUUAGGCAAAACAAGAGAAGAAAGGUUAAAUACCCAAUUUGUGUACCAGAAAGUCUAAAGAAUGAAGUCUUUCAUAAAUUUAGUACAACUAACAUGAUCAAUCUGAUAGCAAGUUUAGAUCUCUAACUAUGCUAAUGGCCAACAAAAAGUUUGAAAGGUAAGUACUAGGGACCAGAUAGUAAAAGAGUGAUUCACUUGCAUUCUUCUAACUUCCUCAGAGCUAAACGCCACAAAAUUUCUGCGGGUGAUUUUGUUCUAGAAAUUGAGACAGAAAAACGAAAAAUUGUGAAACAUCCAGCACAAUUCAUAACAGCCGACAACCUUUACAUAAAUCUGCAGAUUAUUUGUAAAGCAUUUACAGCAAACAGAUAAUAUCCAUGCAAUAUAUUUCAAGCCACCAAAAGCCAAUAAGCCAUUUCCAUCUAACCACCCAAAUACAGCAUACAAGGACCAGAGUUUUUCUUCAAACUAAAACUGAGAAAUUAUAUGAAUAAAGUUUGCUCUAACCCAUGGUGAACAUUCAUUGAUCGAAAUCAAAUCAUAAAGCAGGAUAACAGUAACAAUAUGUUUUCAGGAAAGUAGAAACCUUAAGAAGAGGAGCUUCCCCAUCUAACUUUAGCUGGCAUAAAAUUUCUUUCUGCCAUGGAGAUGGUGCAGAGAAGUUGGGUGAUGAUACUCCAGCAGCCAUACUUGCAGCAUCCAGAAGCGCUCCAUCAUAUUUCAGCUCAAUACAAUCAUAGGGGUUUGAUGGUAUCACAAAUCCAUAAUCCAGCAGGAAAAGGUCAUUAUUUAAACACCCAUAGUUAAGUACUAAACAAUCGUUCUGUUUGAUCCCUGUUUCUGCCACAACCUGGAAUGAGAGAGAAUCUUGAUGAGUAAAGAAACCUGCAAUCCCUGUUGGAGAAUUUCAGAAUGAAAUUAAAGAAACAAAAAGGCAAAUAAAACCUUUACUAGCAUCGUCACGUCCCUGUCAUCUUGGUCCUGAAGUAUUAUGGCAUUUGGCUUGAAACUAUGGUUGCACAUGUCGAUGAGAGGAAGCAUCAUCGGGACAUCAUUGUUGAUCUCACCUGAAAGCUUUUUACCAUACAAACGGAAUGCCCGAGACGAAACUGCUGACAUUGCCCAUCCAAGGGAGGAUGCAUCUACAGCUUGGCCACCAAAAGGGUGAUCAUUUGGUUUCAAAUUUUCCAGAGCACAUUUGACUUCUUGUUCAAAAUCAAGAAGAAAUCUGCAUCUCUUGUUCACCUGCAACGGGGAAUCAUUAAACCUUCAAAGCUUGCUGUGGAAAUCAAGUGGUCGUCAAGAUAAGAAUCUUAACAAAACUAUAUUACAAGGCCUUCAAAUCAAGCUAUUGAACGUGACAUGCCUCCAUGGGUCAGAUUUUGUCUAACUCCCAAAUUUAGGAUUAAGGAGACUGAUUGAAGUGUGUUAUUCUGUUCUUUAAUGUCCUAAAGUAAAAACAAAAUGUAUGUGGGACAAAGCAUACCCAAUAGCAAAUAAGGCAACCUAGAGGCUAACAUAUGGUAAACUAGAGGACAUGUCCAUCUCUUGGUUAGGGAUCUCACUGAAAGUUCUCUGACAAAUAAAACACAGAUUGUUUCUUCUAGUCUGCUCAAGGGACAUUGAUAGGCAGGUACAUUGCAUGGAGGUCCAGCAAUCCUCCCAAUUAUUGAACACAAUUUACAAAAAUGUCCAAGUCAGGAUUCAGCCAACCCACUCCGAGCCAAUGUCCAACCAUUGACAUAACCCACAAUUUUCUGAGAUAUCAGAAUAGCUAUCCUACAUUUUAAAUACAACACAAACUAGAGAGGGAAGGACUAGGGAGGGUGGUCUUAUACGUUCCCGACAUAUUUUUCUUUGCAGGUCUUAUAUGGUUUGAUAGACAAGACCUUAGCUUGGCAGAAACAUUGACAUUUAUGUGGUCAAAUAAGGUACCUGGUAAAGAAGUGGAGCAUACUGCAAAUUCUUUAUGUCCUCGCCAGGGAAGAAGAUGGGUAUAUUGAAUGUUUCAGGGAGGCUGCUGAUGUAUGGCCACCAGAAGGAUCCAGUUUUUGCUCUUUCUUGCAGAAGCUUCAAACCCAAUUUCAUUGCCCAAAGUUCCUCUGCCAAAUGCUUCCACAAUGUUCGAUUUACUCAUAUUCAAAACUCAGUACAGCCUAAUGUACAAAACUUUUAAGUUACCAACCUAUGCAGAUUGCAGAGUAAAGUAAACCUAAUGCUACAGUAAAGUAGUAGGGUCUUGACUGAGAUAAACACAGAAUGCCAUGUGCUACACAAGUGACUUGAGAAUUCCAAAUACCAUGGCAACGAUACUUCAAUUCCAACUUACUAGCAUACAUGUACAUCAAAGUUCAAGCUUUACUGCUAUUUUAAACCAAAUGAGAGGUGCCACUUACAAUUCUACAAUUGAACACCACUAAAGUGAAAGCUAGCAAAAUGCGAAAUACCCACUAACCAAUUACACCGAAAUACGAGCAUAAACCUAAUAAAAUGGGAAAGCCAAAGAACACUUACCAGGAACGUGGCGAGCCAAAUUGACGAUAACAGAGUCAAGCCCACCAUCUCCACCCUCUGAUUCAAGAGAGCCAAAUCUCAACGGUACGUGCUCGGGAAGAACAAUUAGUUCAGAACCUUUCGGGAUUUCCUCUGAAGCCACAAGUCCAAGACCAAAGGAACUAUCUUGAGCUAUCUUCACGGCUUCGUGCACGAACCCUCCUUCCCUACGAACCCACUUGAUCAGGUCAGGUGGGUAUGGGGCCAAUCGCCCAGGAUAAGAGGUUGAGGUUGAGGCACCGCAAGUUAGAGGGCGGAAGGCGGUGAGCGAAGCCAUUACCAUCUUGGAAGCUGCCAUGGUCGAGCAACUUCAGUCCUAGUGCUAAGAAAACUUGAGAGGAUUUAAAAUUUGAGCAGAAUGGAUUGAUUUCCAUGAAAAAUUAGGGGAAAGUUCUCAGAUUACCCAAAAAAGUAGGAAAAUUAAAUUAUCGUUGUCGAAUUUUGGAGGGGAUAAUUUCGGGAUUUCAAUUGCUUUGUAAUUUCUCUUUCUAUAGCUUUUUGAAGUCGAAAACGUACUCACUUGCCCUAACCUGCCCCGCCCCUGAUGAUAUUUUAGUGGCUCAUUUUUCAGAUUGGCUUAUGCUUGGAACUUGACCACAAGGGAACAAUUGGGCUUAGAAAAUCCUCUUGGUGUUACAAAUUACAAUGGUGUAUUUGGGUUUGGGAACACUGAAAUGAGGCCAUGACGUCACCCCUCUCUCAUUAGAUGGUAGAAGGCAAUGAGAGGCGCAUCUCCCGUAGGACUUGCCUCGUUCAUGCCAGUGGCCAUGUGACAUUUCCAGUCACAAAGAAAAUUGAUUAUGGAAAUAAAAAACUUUUUGUUAUAAAAAUAAAAUAAUCAGAGUAUGAAAAGUAUUAUUGAAUAUUAGGAAUAGAAUUGUAUUUGUUCUUAUGAUGUUUACACUGACAAAAUUUAUUCUCAUAUAGAACUCACCCUCUUUUGUUUUCUCUCAUUCUUCCUUUAUUCUCUUCCUUUCUUUCCUCUUUUCUCCUUUGGUGUAUUUUGCUAAGCAAUGUGAAGUCUAUUUAUAGGCAAAUUAGAUGGCUUACCCAACAUCAUCAUUAAACUUUUUGAAUAUUAUUUCCUUCUUUUCUUUAUGUGGGCUCCACCAUUUUCUUUACAACAUUCCCCCUUGGAGACCACAAUGUAUGAAACAUGCCUCGUUAAAAACCUUGCCAGUAAAACCCAGUGGGACAAAAAACUGGUCGAAGGAAAAAAGAGUACAUAACCAUGUGUAACAUAAAAUUAUGUGUAUAUUGACAUGCGUGCGGCACUGCCCCGUUCAAACUUUGCCAGAAAAAACUCAGUAGGAUCAAAACCUGGACGAAGGAAAAAGAGUACAAUGUGUGAAGGUCUUUAUUGACAGUACGCUCCCCCUGAUGCUUGGCAAAAUAUCUUUUAAGUCAUACUGUUGAUCAUCUUUCUGAAUGUCAUAGUUGACACUACUUCUGUGAGUCAAUCUUGUAAUAUUGUUGGAUGCUCCCUCUGAAGAAUAUCUCUCAUGAUAUCUUCAUGAUUAUCUUUCUAGAGGGAAGAUCUUUCGGACUGAUUGAAUGAUGUAGCCAUCAACAAUGUAGUUGAGUAAGCAAAUCUAUUUCCAGUUAGCUAUAUCAUAGAAAUUUUCAAAGUCCGCGAAUCAAACAAAACCUGAACUAUUUGUAAGUUCACUUGAAAAGAAUACGCCCAUAUAUAUUUUUUGGGGAGAUAACAUCAAAUAUGUCUCACAUCAUCCCAAAGUGGUGGUGAUGGAGCUAAGCUCUAUUUGAAAAAUACAAUGUUUGGUCCAGUAUAUACAGAGACGGACCCACAGUGGGGUCAAUGGGGUCAAACGACCCCAUGGACUCCAUGGAAGCAAGGUAGAAGGUGGCUUUGAAAUGGGGUAUGACCCCAUGAGAGAGGGGAUUUGCAGACAAGAGGAAGAAGAAGAUGAACAGGGCUCUGUUCUGUUUGAAAGAAACUGGCCAAAACGGCGUCGUUUUGGCCCAGCUUCUAAUGUUUUUUUUAAAACAGACUGGCCAAAACGGCGUCGUUUUGGACAAAAACGAGCUGGCCAAAACGGCGUCGUUUUGGACCAACGAAUUUUUUUAAAAAACCCGCUGGCCAAAACGCCGUCAUUUUGGAUCAGCGAAUUUUUUUUUAAAAGACCUGGCCAAAACGACGUCGUUUUGGUCCAGAUGUUAUAAAAAAAAAAAAAACACAGAUCAGUUUCCCUUCUUCUUCCUCCCUAAUUUUCAUUCCAAAACACCUAUUUUCUAAACCCUAAAACCUAAAUCCCCAAUCUCCACCCCCCACAAACCUUUAACCCUCUUCCCCACCAAGCCUUGAAGCCCCAAAUCCUCCAUUGUCGCCGCUGCCAGCAGCUCCGCCACUUCCAAAAGCUUGCCUCCACUUCCAUCACCUCACAAUUCAAGGUAAAUUCUAACUCUAAACCUAAAUUACUUAAAUUGAAAUUGAAUUUAUGAUUGUAUUAUAUUGUUUAGAUUUAUUGGAUGUUUCAUUUAUGAAUUUUUUGUGGUUAAUUGGUAUAAAUUUGGUGUUGUUUAUAUUUAUUGGAUGUUUCAUUUAUGAAUUUGUUGUGGUUAAUUGGUAUAAAUUUGGUGUUGUUUAGAUUUAUUGGAUGUUUCAUUUAUGAAUUUUUUGUGGUUAAUUGGUAUAAAUUUAGUGUUGUUUAGAUUUAUUGGAUGUUUCGUUUAUGAAUUUUUUGUGGUUAAUUGGUAUAAAUUUGGUGUUGUUUUGAUUUAUUGGAUGUUUCAUUUAUGAAUUUUUUGUGGUUAAUUGGUAUAAAUUUGGUGUUCUCUUGAAUUGAUUUUAGUUAUUAUUUUGAUUAAUUUAUGUAGAAUUAUGGAAAGAUUUUUUAAGAGAAAGUCAUCAUUGGGUAGUUCGGAUAGUGUGGGAAGUUCAAGAACUUCAAGUUCAAGACAAAGUGAGUUAGAUGAGGUUUUGGCUAAUCUUCAGGCAGACCCGGGACUAAGAAUUCGUAUGAUUGAGUAUGAUGCUAAUAUUAGAGAUGAGGUUCGAAGAGCAUAUCUACAAAAAGGACCUUGUCAACCUAGAGGUCAUUCUUUCCCACAAAGUAAUAUCUCAGGAAUUAAUCGACGCUUCAUUCCCCAAUGGUUUGAUGAAUUUGAUUGGUUGGAGUAUAGUGUAUCUAAAGAUGUUGCAUUUUGUCUUUAUUGCUAUCUCUUUAAAUGCAAUUUUGAACAAGUGGGUAAUGAAGCUUUCACUGGAGCAGGGUUUAAGAAUUGGAAGAAAGGGAGAGAAAGAAUGAAGGUGCAUGUUGGACCGGUUGGUAGUGUUCAUAAUAAAGCUAGAGAAGCCGCUACAAAUUCGAUGAAUCAAAAUACACAUAUUGAAACAGCUGUGAGCAAACACUCUGAACAAGCUCGUAUGGCAUAUCGAAGAUGCUUAAUCGCAUCAAUCAAGUGCACUAAGUUUCUAUUGAGACAAGGUCUUUCUUUUCGUGGAAAUGAUGAAAGUGCCACUUCAAGCAAUAGGGGAAAUUACUUGGAGUUAUUGCAAUUCCUUGCAGACAAUGAUGAGAAAGUUAAAGAAGUUGUGUUGGAAAAUGCUCCGGGGAAUCUCAAGUUAGUAGCUCCAAAGAUUCAAAAAGAUAUUGUGAAUGCAUGUGCCGGGGAAACACUUGAUGUCAUCAUGAGUGGUUUAAAAGAUAGAUUCUUUUCUAUAUUGGUGGAUGAAGCACGUGAUAUUUCUGGGAAAGAGCAAAUGGCUAUGGUGUUGCGUUAUGUGGAUGACAAAGGGCAUGUAAUUGAAAGGUUUGUGGGGGUUCAACAUGUUACCGACACCACUUCAAGUACACUAAAGGAUGACAUUGACAUAUUCUUUUCUUCCAAUGGUUUGAGCUUUUCCAAGUUACGAGGACAAUGUUAUGAUGGAGCUAGCAAUAUGAGAGGUGAGUUGAAUGGCCUUAAAACAAAGAUUUUGAGAAAACAACCUUGUGCAUACUAUGUUCAUUGCUUUGCUCAUCAACUUCAACUAGCACUUGUUGCCGUAGCAAAGAAGAAUAUUGAUAUUGCCUCUUUCUUCACAACCACUAAUAGUGUGGUUAACCAUGUUGGAGCAUCGUGUAAGCGGCGUGAUGCACUUAGAGCACAACUCCAAGAAGAACUUGUGAUAGCUUUUGAAAAUGAUUGUCUUAUAACGGGGCGAGGUUUGCAUCAAGAAACAAGUCUCAAACGUGCCGAUGACACACGAUGGAGCUCACAUUACGGUACCAUUAUUAGCAUCAUUUCUAUGUUUUCAUCUAUGAUUCAUGUGCUUCAAAUGAUUAUUGAUGAUAAUCCCAAUGAUAGUGCCGGUGAAGCAAAUAAGAUUCAAAGGGAAAUGCUUACUUUUCAGUUUGUGUUUCACCUAUUCUUAAUGAAGGCUAUAUUGGGACUCACAAAUGAUGUGUCACAAGCAUUGCAAAAGAAAGAUCAAGAAAUUGUGAAUGCAAUGGCUUUGGUGAAAUCAUGCAAGGAAAAACUACAUUGGAUGAGGAAUAAUGGGUUUGAUGCAUUGGUUGAAGAGGUGUCUUCAUUUUGUGACAAACAUCAUAUUGAUGUUCCUACCAUGGAUGAGGCCUUCGUACUUCCAGGGAGGUCAAGGCGUAAUGCUCCAAUAAAGACAAAUCGUCAUCAUUAUCGUGUGGAGCUCUUUAUUUAUGUCAUUGACGAGCAACUUACGGAGUUAGAUGAUUGUUUUAAUGAGGUAAUGUCACACCCCGGGAUCGGCUCCGUCAUAGCACGAUAUUGUCCGCUUGGGCCCCCCUCUCUGCCCUCACGGUUUUGUUUCUGGGAGCUCACGAGCAACUUCCCAGUGGGUCACCCAUCCUGGGAUUGCUCUGGCCCCCAACUCGCUUAACUUCGGAGUUCCUACGACUCCGAAGCCAGUGAGCUCCCAAAAGGCCUCGUGCUAGAUGGAUGCGGGUGUGCACAUAUAAGGUACAUCACCCCCUAUCCGUUGGUUGAUGUGGGAUCUUACAAUCCACCCCCCUUAAGGGCCCGACGUCCUCGUCGGCACACUCGCACCACACGGCAGAGUGGCUCUGAUACCAAAUUGUCACACUCUGGGAUCGGCUCCGCCGUAGCACGAUAUUGUCCGCUUUGGGCACCCCUCUCUGCCCUCACGGUUUUGUUUCUGGGAGCUCACGAGCAACUUCCCAGUGGGUCACCCAUCCUGGGAUUGCUCUGGCCCCCAACUCGCUUAACUUUGGAGUUCCUACGACUCCGAAGCCAGUGAGCUCCUAAAAGGCCUCGUGCUAGAUGGAUGCGGGUGUGCACAUAUAAGGUACAUCACCCCCUAUCCGUUGGUUGAUGUGGGAUCUUACAGGUAAAUAUUGAGUUGCUUAUUUGUUUGGCAUGUUUGAGUCCAAAUGAUUCAUUUGUAGCUUUUGAUAAACAAAAGUUACUUCGUCUUGCUCAAUUUUAUCCUCAAGACUUUUCGGAUGAGGAUCUUUUGGCACUUGAUGAUCAACUUGAGCUUUAUAUUCAUUAUGUGAGUUCGAGUAGUGAUUUCUCUGACUUGCAAGGGAUUGGUGAUCUUGCAAAAAAAAUGGUGGAGACAAGGAUGCAUCGAGCAUUCAAUUAUGUGUAUUUGCUUAUUACAUUGGCUCUAGUUUUACCGGUUGCUACUGCUUCAGUCGAGAGGGCAUUCUCCGUCAUGAAUAUUAUCAAAGGUCCACUUCGGAAUAAAAUGGGAGAUCAAUGGUUGAGUGAUAGCUUGCUUGUUUAUGUUGAGAAGGAUGUUUUUGAUUGUAUUGAAAAUAAAGCUAUAAUACUAUGUUUUCAAAAUAUGAAACCUCGUCGUGGCCAAUUGUAAUUUGUAAUGUUGUUUUUUUACAUGAAUUAUGAAUGAAUGUACUCUAGUUUUAUUUUCAAUGUUAUUUUAAUCUUUCAAAAAAAAUUGAACUUUUACAUUAUGACCCCACGACACAAAAUUCCUGGGUCCGUCCCUGAGUAUAUAUAUGGAUGAUCUAUUAGUAUAAGCAAGAAUCUCGUUGGCAUAAUUCUCGAUCUUCAGGCCGAGACAAAUAUUUCUUGAACUCUUCAGGAGUUUUAAUCAAUUAUCAACUCUUCAUGAGUUGUAAUGUAUUGCAACCAUAUCAUAAUUAAUGUACUCACUGAGACAAUUUAUAUAUAUUAAUAUUGAGUACAAAAUUUGUGCUCCAGGCACAUGUUCUUCAGAGACUUGUUUCAUGCAAUUACAAUCCUUUCAGGAAUUUUAUUUAAGGUAUUACACUUCAUGACACAUUAUAUAGCUUUAUAUCCAGAUAUUUGUUCUGUUUGUACAUCUUUAGGGAAUUGCUUCUGGCGAUAUGCUCCGUACAUUUAAUAACCCUUAAAGAUAAUAUGUUGGUCUCCGUAAAUGUGCAAUAAGAAGGCACAAUUGCAUCUGUAAAUAUGGAGAACCUCAACAUUCCUUGUUUCUACCAUAAACAUUAUGUCAUAUAAAUUAAGUAUGUUCAUAUUUUAUUCCGAGCACCCAAGUAUAACUUUCAGGGUUAACAUCUUUUGGGGUUCGUACUAUGGGUUUGUUCCUUCACAUUCAUUCUCAUCUGUAAUGGAAUUGUCUCUUUCCAUUUUUGGCCAAUGAUAUUGUCGAUAUUUAAUUAUAGAACGUGGUUCCAAUCAACACAGCCCAUUGAUGAUUUGAGUAGCUACUCUAAAAUCAAAAAUUGUCAUUCAUCAAUUCGUGAUCCCACCAUUUUCAUAUGCAUGCACAUGCAUCAAUUAUGAACAUUUCUUUGUUUUUGGGUACCCAAGCCACUUCAUGGGAUUUUAUUGUCUCUUUCCAGACAGACAUCUCUUAUAGUAUGAAUUAUGUGAGAAUGUGAAUCUUAACCUCCAAAUGGAGUGUUAUUUUGCAGUGGGGCGUGGAUAAUCUCCAUUCAGGGAGUUGGAAUAUUUAGAACUCAUUUAUCUGUCAUCUUGUAGACAUGCCAUAGAUUAAUACACACAUGUCAAUGCCCUUUGGGACUUUAAACCAUAUAAUUUGCUACGCAUUAGGCGUGCACUGUAUUAAUAUUGACAUGUUAAUGGAUUGUCCUUCCAGGACUUUAAUCCAUAUUAUUUGCUACGCAACAGGAAUGCAUCAUAUUGAUCACUGCUAUACUCAUGUUCUGUUCUUAUGGGACUUUAAUCUAUGCAAUGUAUUAUCAAUAUAUUCAACUUGCAGUCUAUGAAAUUUGCAUUAAUAAUUCAUGAAUACAUAUCAGAAUGAUACAAGUCAUUCUUCUGGAAUGGUCAUAAUACAAGUCGUUCUUCUGGAACAAUUUAUAAUGCAAGUCAUUCUUCUAGAAUGGUCCUUUGUAUGGCGUUCUUCUGGAAUGGUCUUAUCUCCUCAUUUGGUUACCUUUAAGGAUGUCGCACAAAAAAAUAAGAGCAUAAGUACGAAAUAACACAAGUAUUGCUUAUAUCAUUAGGUGGGAGAAACUUUGCUCAAAUAUCAUUCAAGCUCGUAUCGGCUUAGCAAAUACAAUGUAAUGCUUGAUGAUCUAGUUAUAUUUUGCAAGAGAAAAAAUCACAAUUCUUCUGUCUCUAUCAACAACAAAAAAACCCUCAUUGUUAGGCUCACUACAUAAAUUUGUUCUUCAGAUGUUCGUUCUAAAGAAACAAAAUCUCUUAUGAAUAGAGUUGUAAAAAGAAAGAAAAGAUACAAAGAAUUGUGAUAUUGAUUGCAAUGUAGGUAAGAAAUCAGGGAAGGAAAUUAGUGAGGUAACAGACAACAAACUCUUAUUUCUCCUAGCUUAGAAGAACUUCAGGAGAUUAGAGCAUAUGGUCGUCCUUACAGUUUCCUGGUCUAGCUGAAACGUGAUCAGGGAUAGUCUCGCUUCCUGUAUGGAUGAUUAGAGAUAGUCUCGCUUCUCAAGCAUAUUGAGCGCUCACUAAUAGGAAAAAAAGUGGAUAUUGCAUCACUAGAUAUGGAGAAAGCUGGAGAAAACUUGAGAAAUUGGAUGUAUUAUGCAAAGAAAAUUUCAUUAGUAACAUAUUUAUACACAAAUUAGAUGAACAGUUUGAUCCGGUGAAUCUCAAAUUAACUACAGAAAAUUGUGAGAUGCUCGAGAUACUUUUGAAAAAGUAACUCCGUGAAAUCCGCAAAGCAAGAUCGGCUUUGAAGAAAAUAAUCUUUGAAACCCUUAAAGUGCCGACAAACAUUAAUGGAGGCCGCGUGAAUUUUUGGAAUCUGAAAAAAGAAAAAGAGAAUAUGGGGAUCCGAGAAAAUAUUGGGAUCCUAGAAAUGGUGCCACAUUUCCGUCUAUAGAUAUUGCCUCUGCAAGGCCUGAUCUGCAUUUCAAUUCAACUUCCUUCCUUUUUCUGAAAAUUUUAUAAGACUUUUCUCAAAACCAUCUCAAAAUGGCUUCCUCUUCUUCUGGCCUAAAUCAUUUCGAUUUAAAUGUUGCUCCCAAAACAACCUGUGACGCCAAAGUCUGGAGUCCAUUCUUUGUAUCCCAAAAUCGUCAUCUUAUGGUUAAUGAUUAUGUGAUGAUGAAUUAUACAGUUGCUGUCAUAGUAGCUAGGAAUUUCCUUCCUCUUAUGGAUGAAAUACUACUAACAUGAAGGUCUAACGAAGAGACUAUUGAUGACUCAAUGGCUUUUAGCAUUCAGAGUGCUGCUUCUGUUUCUAACAUGACUGAUCAUUUGCGUGCCAGAGCAAACGAGAUUCGGGAGCUAAACACUGAAAAUUCGUCUCUUCAGAGAAUGCUUCAUGAGUCUUAACAAGAGGUUGAGAAACUUAAAGAGGAACAUAAGGCCUUGUUGAAACUGGUGAGUUCAUACUCCAUUAAUACGCGGACAAGUCUUAACAUGCUGCAGAUUUCUAAUGAAAAGAUUCCGGGAGACCAUGAGAGGCUUAUGGCUAAGCUUAAGAAGCGUCGUCCUCUUCCUUCAUAGGCUUCCAGAACAUAAUGGAAUUUUAUAGAUUUUAUAGAGCCUGCUCAUUCCUUGCAGGUGAAAAGAAUCUAUAUGUUGUAUGCUCCUUUCCUGUUAUAAUAAUUGGGUGAAUUCUUAAACUUGCAUCUGUGGUUUUUACGUCUUUUGAAAAUGAAGAUUUGGAACCUUAUGCCUUAUAGGUUCAAAUAACCACAUCAAAUCUCUCAAAUUACAUAUUUCAAUGCAUGUGAGUCCGGAACUUCUGGCUCAGGUUAAACACGACUUGAAAAUUUAUUUGCCUUUUUCAAAUGGUCAUGAAAUAUAAAUUGAGUAAAAGUCAUGAUAAUAUUGCAAUAUAGUAGUGAAGAGCAUUAACUACUAUAUUACAAAAACUUCAGUUUCGGGAUCUCUUGUAUAUUUGGAUCUAUGGGCUUUCGGCCCAGAUCAUAUAAUAUAACAAAAUAUGUGGGGAGCCUCAAUUCAUCCUUUGAGGUUUAUCUUGAUAUUAUCAAUUUCACAGUAUAUUCUUAACAACCGGAAUUCAUAAAAUAUAUUUGUUCAUUGAGGUGUCAAUUAUAACAUAAUCGAACUUUAUUAAAUUCAUCAUUUUCUUAUGCCAACGAAAUAUGUGGUGUACCACAAUUUGCAAUAAUACCUCAAUUGUCCAUUUAACUAUUGGAACUUCAAGUUUUCAAUAUUGUCAGAUUUUAAACUUCAUGUCAAAAUCGCAUAUUUUAAUGGUAUGUACAUUUUUAUAAUUUCCUGUACAUAUUUCAGGACUUCAUGCCUUUACAUAAUUGUCCAUGUUUUGAGAAGCUUAUGGCUUCUCAUUUAAUUGAUCAUCCAUGAGUUUAAGGAAUUGCAUAAUGACAGUUUACCCAAAAUGAUUAAUAUUUAUGUAUACAUCAUCACUAUUCAUGUAUACGAUACUAUUCAUCAGGUCAUGAAUACGUGUCUAUUCAUGCAUACAGUACAUUUGCUAAUACAAUUACUAUUCAUUUAUACGGCACUAUUAACCAAUAUGGUACUAUUACAUUAUUAAGGAACUUCAUGUCCUUAUUUACAUGUUAAGGAUCAAGGAGUCUGAUCUCUUAUUUACAAAUAUAGUACGGGAGAGAUUGACAGCUCUCAUAUCAUUAUCAUCAUCAAUGAUCUUUAGGUCUUGAUGUAGUUGUAUGAUGAGGAUCAAGGAACUUCUAGUCCUGAUUUCUAUAUGCUGUGAAACUCAUCAUAUCACACAAUUAAUUCAUAAAAUAAAUUGCUUGUAAAUAAAUUGUUGGUAUGGACGAUAAUCCCACACCAUACUUUAAAUAAAUGUAAAUGUGCGGUAAAAUAAAUUCAUAAAUUAAAUUGCUUUAUGUAUGGAUGUUAAUCCCGCACCAUACUUUAAAUAAUAAAGUAAAUGUGUGAUAAAGUAAACGUGCUGGUGUAGGCACUAAUUCUACUCCAUACUUUUAAAUAAAAAGUAAAGGUAGUUGUGUGGACGAUAAAUCCGUGCCACACUUUAAAGUAAAUGCUAAAGGCAUUUGUGUGGAUGAUAAAUAUGUGCCACACUUUUUAAUCAAUACUGCCGUAUGUGUAAUUAACCUACACCAUACAGUAAAUAAUGUAAAUGUAGGGAUAAAACCACCACCUAAUAUAUAUGAAGUAUAUAACAUAUUAUAUAUUGUGGACAAUAUAACUGCUUCACUAUUCAAGAUAUAAUAAGAUGGGUUUUAAGAUCACACCAUCAUUUUUAUUACAAUAAAUGUGUUACAACGCGAUGGGCAAUGAAAAUUACACCACCAUAAAAUAACAUGAUUAGAUAUAAAACCGCACCAUUCCAAAUUACAGUACGAAAAAAUAAAUUAAAUAAACAUGGAUGAAGCAACAUAAAAAUUGUGAGAAUAUAAAAAAAAGAGUUUGCAUGUCGUUGUAGUAGUAAAGUGAGAGGAGACAAAGAAAUAACCACAUAGUGUUGAGCUGGAAAAAUUUAGCAGUAAAGAGGUGAGACUAUCAUACUGAUAACGUGUUAUAAAGAAGAGAGACUCACUCUCUUUUAUUUCCUCUCAUUCUUCCUUUCUUCUUUUCCUUUUUUUCCUCAGUUUCCCUUUGGUUUGGUGUAUUUUGGCUUACCCAACAUCAUUAUUAAGCUUUUUAAAUAUUAUUUCCUUCUUUUCUUUACGUGGACUCCACCAUUUUCUUUACAACACUUUGUUCUUUCUUUUCUUCUCGCCCGUUGUUGGCUCACUCACAUGUUACUAGACCCAAAAAAGAAAAACUCACAUCACAUGUUACAUUAUUUUCAAAUCCAUUCACUCUUCUGUCAAGCACAUGAGCACAUUUUGAGGACAAUCUGUUUUAGAAAGAAAGAAGUUUUUGUUCUCCGUCUAAUAAAUCGGCAUUCCAUCAAUGGCCACUGGCCCCAGUAGCAUUGAGCUAGCUAGUUUCCAGUGGCAACACAAGAGAUCAAGAAAAGAAAACACGCCAUUUAAAUAUAUAAAAUAUAACCCAGUGAACAGACUAUAUCAACAGAUCAAAUUCAAGUCCAUUAAUGAAAAUUAGAAAGUAGUAUUAACAUUUGAAUAUGGAUUAGAUCGGAAUUAUUAUACAAGGAUGAAGGAUGAAAAUGUCAACAUGAUCAUGAAAUACUUUACUCAAAAAAAUCCUUCAACUAAUGAGAUCACAGAUGCCUUAAACUAAUGAGAUGAAUGAAUCAACAAAAAAAGAAAAGAAAGUGGAAUUGAAUUAAUAUUCGGGCUGACGUUGAUCAAACUGCAGCAGAAUCAUUAUAACGCGAGCCCAUCAUCAUCAUGACCUUAAACUCCUCAAAAUUGAUCAUACCGUCGCCAUCGCUGUCGACCGCACUGAUCAUCUUCUUGCACUCAGCGAUCGAACACUCGUCCCCCAAGCUCCUCAGCACUUUAUACAAUUCCUCGGCCGAAAUCGACCCAUUCCCAUCAAUGUCGUAGACCGAGAAAGCGUCUUUCAGAUUCUCCAGCGCCUCGGCCUGGUCGACCCCGUUGGUGUUGAGCUCGACGAACUCUUUGAAGUCGAUGAAGCCAUCGCCGUCGGAAUCGACCUCUAAGAUCAUGUGGCUGAGCUCCUCUUCGUUGGCCGGCUGGCCCAGGCUGCUCAUGAUGGCUCCGAGCUCGGAAGACGAGAUCUUGCCGUCGCCAUUGACGUCGAAUUUCUUGAAGACCUGGUCGAGUUCGGCGAUCUGAGCGCGCGAGCUGAAGGAUGGGGAUCGCGAGGGUGUGGUCGUGAGUGGGAGGGCUGUGGCUGAUGGAAUGGAUUUCUUCUUCCGGGAGAAGAGGGAUUUGAAACCCAUCUGGAUUUGAAUUGAAACGACUCUGAGAGAGAGAAAAGGUGAAAUGAAAGACGAAUUGAAGAAGAAGAUAGUCAAAUGUGAGAUUCAGAUUUCUAGGGUUGUGUUAAAUUUGAACAGGGGGAUUUUUGUUGCUUCUUUGUUGUUUGGAGAUUCAGGGAAUGGGAUUGGGAUUGGGAUGUUGGUUGCAGGUUAUUUUAUAAGGAUGUGAGAAUGAGUAAAUGAGAGAGAGAGAGUUUGGUUAGGGAUUGGGAAAUGGGGGAAUUGGGGAUUGGGUGAAUAACUGAAUGCGGAAAACGAAAACAGAAUCCAACUGAAUCUUAACGCCUAUUUCUCUGUCAAUGGCUCAUCAAUAACUCAGAUGAAUGUGGUGUGGUGGUUGUCGCUAAUUUUGGGAGGAGAGAGAGAAGAUUGCGCGUCAAUUGAUGAGUUACAGUCAGUUACACUGCAUACACACCAACUCAAUGACUCGGUGGAUGCCAACGGUAACAAUGGAUCCCACGCGUCACCGACUCAACCAACUAUAUUUGAGAAUGAGUAAAUGGCACUAAUUAAACAAAAAUCACGUCAAACUAACUUUUUAGCGUGACUUUUUGAGAAUUAAGGGUUAGCUUAGCCGCAUAAUGUAUGUAUUUAUAGCCUAGGGUUGUUUUAUGUGGGGGUCCGAGCAAUAAGAGGUAAGAAUUGUAAAUCCAUAUCGAUAUUGGAUACGGUAAGAUUAUUUUCUUGACAUGUUUUAUCCUUAUCCUUGUAGGUUAUUGAGUUAAUCGAGCCUGAUGCUGAUUUAAGGAACCUGAUGUUGAAUGUAUAUAACAGAAAAAGAUUUGCAUCAUUUCUUUGAUUUCUUUUCAUCUUUAUUAUUUUGUAUAUGGAACUAAAGAUAAAUAUUUUUUCGAAUAAUACUACUCUUAUUACAUUUGUAUAUUGUAUUCACAUACCACCUCAUGUGGCAGUAGACAAUCAUAUCAAUUAAAAAGUGUCAAUAAAUCAUAAAAGAAAAGAAAAUGUUAAAUUAAUUUUAAUUGAUGUGUUUGUUCACCUCAUCUACCAUAUAAAAUAAUAUUGAAAAUAAAGUAUAUAAAUAUGAUAAUAGUAAUAUUAUUCUAUUUUUCCUUCUCAUAAUAUUAUCAUGAAAAAUGUACUCUCUCAAAUUCUCAAAUAUUAAACUGAAUGGGCAAAUUUAACUACCAUGAUAAACAUAUUCAUGCUUUGCCAAUUAGAGAUUACCAUUUCAUACCAAAUGAUGCAACGUGUUACAUUUACAAUACGUUAAUGAUGAGUGAGUAUGAUGUAAUGCCAAAUGCUAGGAGCAAAAUUGCAGUCCUGAAAUUGACUUGAAAUUGGAGGCGAAUCUUAAGGCCGCAACAGUCAAACACCUCCCUCCCUUAUGCUCCAGAAUAAUACUGUUUUGUUAUUUUUAAUCAAUAAUAGAAUUAUGUUUGAAAAAUUUAUCUAACGUGUCAUUGAGUUAUUAGAUUUUCUCCGCUGCCCGCACAUGAUGUCCUCCUAAAAGGACCCCACUUUACAGUCUACACCAUUAAAUUUAAAUCAAUCUAUCUCUGUCCCAAAUUAAAAAAAUACACCAUUAAUCAAUCAAAAUUCAAAAAGUAAAAAUAAAAUCCAUACUGCCAAGAAUCCAAUAUCUGAAUUGAAAGACAGAGCACUGAAACCCUGCACCUCAUAUAUCCCCAUAUCAUUCCCUCUCCUCUCGACUCGUUUACAGUUAUAUCUGGUCGGCUGGUCUUCCAGUUCCUCCUCCUCUCUCUGUUGAUGAAGGGAAGCUGAGCCUUUUUGAAAGAUUAAAUCUUUUUAACUCCCACGAAUCACGAUGGACUCAAAGUCUCUGCGUUUCCUUACCCACCAAUGUUUCUUCUCCGCCGUUCGAUCCGGUGACCUUGGGUCGGUGAGACAGGUGGUCGAUAAGCUCACAAAGGACGAGCCCUCAAAUGGGUCACUCGUCUCUGAUCUGAUGGCGAUGCAGAACGAUGCAGGCGAGACUGCCUUGUAUGUGGCUGCAGAGAAUAAUCUAGAGGAGGUGUUCAGUUACUUGCUCCAGUUCUGUAAUAUAGAGAUUGCAAAGAUCAGGUCCAAGCAUGAUAUGAACGCCUUUCAUGUUGCCGCCAAGCGUGGCUACUUAGGUAUUGCUUUCUAACUGUUACUGUGCUUAAGCUUUGCUUGUGUGUGUGCGCGCGCGAUGAUAAUUGAUUGGUUAUUUUUAUGCACGCUGAAGGAAGGGUAUGUACAAUGAUUAUUAAUAAUUUCCUUCCUAGAGUGAAUAUUUGUGAUUAGUAAGAGGAUCAAAUUCUCUGUACUGCAAGCAGAAUAAUUCCCAAGUCUGACAUGUUGAAAUUCCUUUGUUUUUUUUCCUUUAAAAAGAAAUUUCUUUUGGUUUGUUUCCAUAAAGGAGUGUAUUUCGAACUGAAGAACCAAAAAGAACUAUGAUUUUGAUUUUGACAUAUUUUGAAGGGAAGCUCAGAAGAAAAAAAGUCAUCUCCUCAAGUAUAUGGUAUAUGUUUGUAGGCCAAGGGAAAUAAUAAAUAAUCACUGAUAAAUUGCGUAUCGCUAACCUGGUAAAGAUGAUAAUUUUGAAGGUCUUGUUUGUCUUAAUCUGCUUUGCAUAUACUGAAGCUACUAUGAUAUAUCCUAGAGGUUAAUGUAUAAGAAAUUUUGCAAUCUGGUGGCCAUUUUGAGUUGAUUUCUGUGUUUUCCAUGCUAUAUGUAUACUGUAAUCACUGCAGUGGUGAAAGGAUUUCUUUUUUUAUAAAUUUAUCUGGAAUAGGGUAUUGACUGUUAUUUAUUCAGGUAUUGUGAAGGCACUGUUGGCAAUUUGGCCUGAGCUUUGUAAAUUGUGUGACUCGUCAAACACUAGCCCUCUUUAUUCAGCUGCCGCUCAGGACCAUUUAGAGGUAGUUAACACCAUCUUGGAUGCCGAUGUCAGCUCAAUGAGGAUAGUGAGAAAAAAUGGUAAAACUGCAUUACAUACAACCGCAAGGUAUGGCCACCUACGUACUGGGAAAGAACUUAUAGAUCGAGAUCCAGGAAUAGUCUGCAUAAAAGAUAAAAAGGGUCAAACUGCACUCCAUAUGGCUGUAAAAGGUCAGUGUACUCCGAUUGUAGAGGAGAUUUUGCUUGCUGACCAUUCUAUACUGAAUGAACGCGACAAGAAGGGCAAUACAGCUGUGCAUAUAGCUACAAGGAAAUGCCGUCCACAGGUAUCUUCAUGUUGGCAUUUUAUUUACGAUAGAAGCACAUGAGCUCAUGAAAUCCUUGUCAUUACUUAUUUCUGCCCGCUUUACAUUUGUACGUAUUGCCAUUCCAUGUAGGAUGAAAAUGCAUCAGCUCAUGAAAUCCUUGUCAUUAACUAUUUUCUGCCUUCCCUUGCAUUAUCAGUUGCUUUUACUUACGUGGUAACCGUAAAUCUAAACUGGAUUAGGAGCUAGUUCAUUCUCAUGGCGAUUCCUCUUGCAGCAUCAAUAAAGUAUCACUUGCCAAGGAAUCAUGCAAGAAGAUACCAAAUAAAUAUUUAAGAUUAACCAAAUAAUACACCAAGUGCCUACAUGCAUAAUUGAUAAAGCAUCUGCUUUCUCAUUGCCUGUCAACCCUUGGCUAUAUUGUGAGCCUGUUUUUCCUCAUUGAAAAGCUUCGAUGAGGAACCAGAAAGUAUUUAAAGGAAUAUAUAACUAUAGUAUUACAUCCUCAAAGUCGAUUCUUGACAGCAUCUGAGGAAGAGCUUAUAAUUUAAUGCCUUGCUGGUGUGAGUCCAAUGGCAUAUGUUUGUGUAUUCAUUUUUUUUUCUUUUUACUCCCGUGUUGAAGUUUUACCCUCUUUCUUUCAGAUAGUGAGCGUUCUGCUGAGCUAUAGGACUAUUGAUGUCAAUGCCAUUAAUAAUCAUUAUGAGACUGCAAAGGAUUUGGCAGAUACACUACCGUAUGGAGAAUCAACAUUGGAAAUUAAAGAAGUACUAGCGGAAGCUGGUGCCAAGUAUGCAAGACAUGUUGGCCAAGUGGACGAAGCGAUGGAACUGAAGAGAACUGUGAGUGAUAUCAAGCAUGAGGUGCAGUCACAGCUUAUACAAAAUGAAACAACUCGACGACGAGUUUCUGGUAUUGCCAAAGAACUAAAGAAACUUCAUAGAGAAGCUGUCCAGAACACUAACAAUUCUAUUACAGUAGUUGCUGUUCUGUUGCGUCGAUAGCCUUCUUGGCCAUGUUUAACUUGCCUGGCCAAUAUGUAAUGGAAGGACCAGAAGCAGGGACGGCUAACAUAGCCGAUAGUGUUGGUUUCAAAGUGUUCUACCUGUUAAACGCUACGUCCCUUUUCAUGUCGCUAGCAGUUGUUGUGGUUCAGAUCACUUUGGUGGCCUGGGAGACAGGGGCUCAGAAGCAAGUGGUGUCAGUGGUUAACAAACUAAUGUGGGCUGCCUGCGCUUGCACUUGUGGGGCUUUUCUGGCGAUAGCCUUUGUGGUCGUUGGAGAGGGGAGUUCAUGGAUGGCUAUUACCAUAACCGUUAUGGGAGUGCCAAUGCUUGUUGGAACUCUUGCAAGCAUGUGCUACUUUGUUUUCCGGCAACACUUUGGGGGUUUCCGGCGCGACUCUCAACGGAGCAUCAAAAGGGCCAGCGGAAGCAAGUCCUUCUCGUGGUCCGUCUACUCGGCAAACAUCUCAGAUCUUGAUGAUGACUAUAACUCCGACCUUGAGAAAAUCUAUGCUUUGUAAACACUAGUAUACAGUAUUAUAGUAUUAGUAGUAUAUAUGAGUUGUUUUAACACGUUUUCCGCCCAAUGUCUUGUUUAGCUCUUUAUCUAUCUGUUGAAGUAAGAGUUGUUGUUCAUAAUUAAAGGGGGUGCUGCUGUAAUCUUGGUGCGCGCCAAGCUAAGUUGUUGGCUUUUUGCUCUGUACCUCUAAAUCUAGCUCUAUAAUUCACAGUUGAUUGUAGAUUAUGCAUAUUGUAUUUGUAACUGUAGAUUGCGUUGCUACCAAUAAUAUGUAAAAUAAUACUCAAUACUUAAUUGAUUUCCACAUUACAUUCUAAUAAUGCCCCAAACAAUUUUUUAUUUAUAUUUUCCCCCUGAUUUCUUUAAAACUACUACUGUACUGUAAUAAUUUUCCCAUAACAGAGCAGGAUGAUCAAUCAACAUAUCCAUUAUAUUAUAUCGUAACAGAAAAAAAAAACUUGAAAAUUAGUAUCUGUUAAUUUUCACCGUAAUCCUUCAAAAUUUAUUAAUAGAAAAAAAAUCCAUGAAGAAAUCCCGUAUGAUUAAUAAUCAAAGUAAGGAAAACAGUUUAGUGGGUCGGGUUCCUCUCAUUUAUUGAAAGAAAACAAAUGUAUGUCGAAGCAGCCAUUGUUGUUGUUAAUAGCAGGGAAACCUAGGCUGUCUGUAGCAAGCAGAGGUUUUUCUCCACUCUGUCUCUGCUGCACUGCUUUUCUCCACCCUCUGCCGCUGCACGCCGCCGUCAUCACCACUCAUAGCCGCACACUGCCAUCCAAAGCUUCAAAUCACUCAGGUGCCGUUUAAAUUUUAAGUCUCUGAAAGCAAAUUCAAUUUCUCUGUCCAUUUUAGCACCAAAAAUAAAAUUUCUCGGUUCAUUUUUUGCUGUUUUGCUAGAACAUGAGUGGUGAAUGAUCGAUAGAUGGAAAGUUAUGAUUAUUACUGAUUUACUUAUAUGUUUGAUUGAAUUUUGCCCACUGCUCAUAUUUCUUUUUUGUUUUUUCGCUAUUUUGCUUCAAAUCAUGAACAGUAAAUGAUUGAUAGAUGGGAAGCUAUGAUUAUUGUUGGUUUAUUGAUAUGUUAGAUUGAAAAUUGCCCAAAUGAAUGCUCUUGCAAUUUUUUGGGUAGUAGAUAUUUAUGUUCUCAACAGUUACAAUAUUCACCAAUCUUACAAGUGUAGGUAGUAGUAGAAACAUGGAAGUAGCUGAAGUUGAAGGUGAUCAUGUUCCAUCAGUAAUUCCAGAGCUCCCAAGUGAAAUCAUAUGGUUUCUUAUACUGCCACGGCUACCAGCUAAGUCUCUGAUGCGGUUCAAGUGCGUUUGCAAGUCAUGGUCCUCUCUCAUCUCCGGUAACCCUACAUUUCUUGGUGUCCACCGAAACUUGCGCUGCAACAACAGCAGGUACACUCACCUCCUCCUCAAUGUCUUUGACCGCGACACAGGCCACGACCACUUGCUCUCCGUCCAAAUCAACCAAGAUGGAGAUGGAGAUGGAGAUGGUAGUACCUCACCUGCCACCCACCUUCUAACACUGCCCCCUGACUAUCAUCUCUACGAUUAUCAGUGUACUAAUGGCCUGUUUUGUAUUUUUUACUUUGCUAAACCGGUAGCCACUAAAACCCACCAUGAACAUGACCCCGAGGACCACGUUCAUAUAUUUAAUCCCUCCACUGGAGAGUCGAUCAUUCUCCCCCAUACUUCACUGUCCAAAUACACACUCCAGAUUAAAGGCCACUUUGGGUUCAGUCCUUUUACAAACGAGUAUAAGCUUCUCCAAGUCCAUUUAUGCCAUGAUUGGACUUCAAAUCUCUUUAGUUUAAAGCUCGAGAUUUUGACUUUGGGUUCUGAUUCAUGGAGGUGCAUUGAGGUAGACCUCGAUCACCUCCCUUUUAAUCCCCUUUCUUCCCACUUGUAUGGCGAAAGUGUGUGCCUUCAUGGAGCCCUACAUUGGAUAUAUCAAGAUGGUGAGGAUAGGAGUAGGAUAGUGGUAUUUGACCUUGGAGAGGAGAGAUUCAAGGUCAUCACAACUCCUGAAGAUGAUGGUAGUGAUCCCUGUUGGACAAUUGCUGAAGUGGGUGGACGUCUAGCUCUAAUGGAUGACAAGGAUGCGAUGCCACAGAAAUUAAUGUUGGAGUUAUGGAUUUUGAAGGACUACCAAAAUCAAGUGUGGGCUAAAGAGACUAUCAAUUUUCCCUCUCAUUGGCGGGAGUCGACGUACCAUCAUUUGAAUUCUUUACGUACAAUUCACACAGGUGAGCUCUUCAUUCAAUCUUCACCGGAAGUACAGGCAUCUCAUCAUUUCUAUGAUAUGAAGAGUAAUAGUUUUUAUAAAAGUUCAAUUGUUUUGCCUGAUUUGAUAUGGCGGAAUGAUGGUGAUGCUCGGUUGGGCUUAAUUACUAGUUAUCGUGAAACCCUUGCCCCCUUAAGAUUAUAAUUCAUGAGAAUGGAGUGGAAUAGCAUUUCAUUUCGUUUCAUUAUUGUAAAACAUAAUUAAUGGGUUGAUUCUUGUGCAAGACAAGAAGGAUCUGUACUACUGGACAUACAUUUUCUCUUUCCCUUUCCCUACUACACCAUGCUUUAAGCCCUUACCAUAUUAUAAAGGAAAUAGGAUCUGAACUUGUUGCUAUCAAGUUUUAAAGUUUUUCUGUGAACGUGCGAUAACUGGUCAGCCUUUUUAUGCUAUUAAGUCCAAUUAGAUUAAUUUUAUGAGUAAGUUCUAUUUAGUUGAUGCGCUUGGAUUUGAAUGGUUUUUUUUUCUUCUCAUUCUCAGGAAAUAGUACACUGUAUAUAUAUAUAUAUAUAUAUAUAUAUAUAUCAGUCCUGAUCUCUUGGACCACAGGAGUCCAAGAGAUUGUGGUCACCCACCAUUGGAUAUUAAUCCAAUGAUUCAAAAAAGUUUCUUAAAAAGAGUGCAAGAGUGAGUGAACCGUUGAAUUUACAUCCAACGGUGAGUGACCACAAAUCUCUUGGACCCCUGUAGUCCAAGAGAUCAGGACGGAUAUAUAUAUAUAUAUAUAUAUAUCAAUAUUCACAACAGAUAACAUCGCUCAAGUUUCUCAUUUGGGUUAUGUUCAAUUGCGCUAGAAAAACUCUUCAGUCCAGAAAAAAAAGGGAAAAAAAGAAAGAGAAAGACAUCAUUAUUCAAAUGGAAUGGUAAAAGAUGUGCAGAAAUGAGGCAUUACAAAGUCAAUGGCAUCCUCAGGAGCAACUAUAUUAUUAAGUAAUUUGUUCAAGGAAGGAAGCUAACCCUCCGUAGGACUGUUUUUAAUGGCUUGUUUAGUUGUCCAAGUAACAGUAGAGUUGUCCAUAAUUGAAGGGCUGCUGCUGUUAUGUAAAAUAAUUGUGGCGGCAUUUGCCAAGUAAUCAAAUCCUUCACAUUUAAAUAAUAUCUAAGCUAAUUUCGUUUUCGGCUUUUGAGAAUAAUCAAAUCCUUCAAAUCCAUAAAAGUUUAUUUGACUUUGGAUAUGAAUAAGAAUCCAACAGACCCCAUGGGCAGCACCUCUGCAUACGCCGGCCUCGCGCCCACUAAUAGCUGAAGCUCUUGGGUUUCUCACAUUUGGCAGACAGCGAAAACUGGAGAGGAGGUUUGGUAAGUAAAUCAAACAAUCGAUCAAUCCACCUGCUGCCUGUUGCAUUUCCUUUACGAGAGUUAGUUGCCUUGAUCUCUCUGUCUCUCUCUUUUGAUCUUGUCUUGCUACCCGCUGACUUGGAUCUCCUGAAUCUGAAUAUAAAGCUUGAUGAAAUCUCAUGUCAUUAGGUUACAGCUACGAUUUUGGAUUUUGCCCAACCCAAGUAUUCAAUCCAAAAUUGAUUUUGGACUCUUUAUGUUUAAAGCAAGAAGCAUUCCCGAAUUACACAUAAUAUUCUGAGAGUGAGAUAUUUGGUUGGGAUUUUAUUAUUGGACCUCUUGAAAUGAGAAUAGAUAAGAAACCAUAAUUGAUUGAUAGACUUGAUUUAUUUUAAAAUCACGUUUGUUUUUUGGGGUGUCUCACCCCCUUCGUUAUUCACCAAAAAAGAGUUAAAAACAGAGAGAAAUCAUCAGCAGUACACAAAUGAAUGAAUGGAUUUAAAGAACCGUGUUGGGUGAAAACACAAGCAAAUCAAUUAAUAACUACAAAUAAACUUUCGUUUCCUUUCUUUUUUUUUCUUUCUUUUUUUUUCAUUUUUUUCAUUUUUGAGGAUCAGGAUCAAGGUGUACAUGAAGACGAAGUAGCUCGACUAACUUUAUAAGAUUGCUGUAACUGUGUAACAGAUACAUCUCAAGAAAACACACUGCCAUCUUUCUAAAUGAAAUAUCUCCCUCUACCCUCUCCUCCUCCCCACAUGGUUUUCAAUAAAAAAUAACAGAACCACGUGGGCACAUCCCUCUUCUUACACAAGUCAAAAGAAUAGCUCGCGAUAAAUGAGCUGCUCAUCUCAAUUCAAAACCCAAUUUUCACCAUCCCAACCAACCUGCAUGAGUUUAACAAACAACUACUACGAUAUACAAUUUUACAAACUAUACCAACCAGAUCGCAUCCACCACUCCUUCCUAUGCUUUGCUGAGGUGAAUACAUAUUACCCUCAGCCAGGGUCCAGAAGCAAUAACAUUAUAAUUGUAACUGCCCCGUCGCCCUCCUAGAUCUCGAAGGAGGCCUAUUCACAUCUGAUGAAGAAGUUCUGCUGAGUUCUUCAGGUCUUUGCACAUCCUGCAUACACACCAAGAAACAACGUAAUUCCAACACACAAGUCGCAGCUUUAGAGGUGCAAUAUGGGAGAAAAUCAAACCAUUACAUAGCAAGUAUGACUGUAUGACACCAUAUAACUAUAAUAAGUUGUAGUUUAAUAAGAAAAAGUAAAGUAAGAACGGGCUAUCUGAAGAAAUGUUUGCAGCAGGUGCCUGCCAAUACAGCUCCCACAUAACAUUUUCCAAAAACACACUCAUCAAGAUGCCAAUAAAUCUCAACAGCAAUGUUAAUAUCCCAAGGAAGAAACUCAACAAACCUUUGGUGUUGAAGAAGAUGUCGAAUUUUUGUGUGAUUGUGCCUGCACUUUCGCAUGCUGACGAUGCUGUCGCUGCAUUUGCUCAAACUGCUGUAGUCUUGAAGCAAAGUUGAUUCCAUUAUGUGAAUUCUUACUGUCCUGGUUUAUGUCGCCAUCUUCAGUUAUCUGUGAGCCACCUGGCAUGUGAUGUAGGAUUUGAUAGGGAUUCCCCGAAGAAGUUCGCCUGAGUUGCUCACCAUUAAAUGAGUAUGAAGGCACAGUUUUCAAACGAGUCCGUAGGAUUUUAAAGGCGGCACUUUGCUGCAAUCAAGAAUCAAAUGAAGCUUAUACACAUUACAAAUACCAAGAUGAUUGCUACUAAUCACAAAAAACAGAACUCUCAUAACACACAGUUUGGACGAUUGCUACUAUUACAAGAACCAGAACUCUCAUGAGGCACAGUUUGAAGUAGUUUCGAGAUAAAUUUAAGGUCUGAUCUCAAUGACUGAUGAUUAAUGAUUAAUGCUUAAUAGUAUUUUUAACAUUUAAUACUAUCAUUUGCCACCACCAGGAAAGAUUUCGGAACAAGAACUUACUGAAAGGUUCAUCCUUAAAUAGUUUCCAAAGAGGGUCAGAAGAAAAACGAAAGGUAAAACAAGGAUCUUUGAACUACAUCAUAGCCAAGAUAAGUAAACAACACUAUUUUCUAUUUAUUGGAAAAAGAAAACUACUCUUUUACUUGUGACUUCCUAAUAUAGAGGAAGCAAAAGUUAUAAAUAAGGGAUUUAAGACAACAUCAUGCUUGCAGUUGUAUAGAGGAAGAAGAAGGAAAAUGAAGAAUUCUUAGUUUAUACCUGGGGAAGCAACAUCAGAAGACCAUACAAGGCUUUUAACAACCAUACAUGUCUUCCAGGUUCAAGAAGCUGCAAGAACCAAAAGACAGCUCAGUCACUCAACAUUAGAUCUCAAUUUGAGAAAGCAACGCAGAAAACACAAAAUGGUAAAAAGCAAACAGGCAUUCUGUACAAAACUUGCAAUAAAACAUUUUUUCUUAUUUUGCCAAAUGAUAAACUUGACAUGAAACAUUUAAGCAUAACCAAAAUGGCAAGCUCAUUUUCUCUCCCUAUACUCCAAUUCAUAAAGCUGACUUUGAGAAGCGUGAGAGGCCACUCCUUGAGAGAGAGAGAGAGAGAGAGCACCUAAUGUAGUAUGCAGAACAAAGGUUAAAAAUAUGGCAAUGAUAUAAGAAAUACAUUUUAAUACUGCACCUGUAAUCUAAGAUAUGCGAAGAUCGGAGUUUCUAGUAACCGAAUCAAUUUAUCCAACUGGACCAAAAAUUUCACAUUAAUAUCUUCCUCCACCAGAGACUGAACCACAGUACUCGCAUGCUGAUAUGUCUGUCAAUAAAAACAUGUUCAUGAAAACAGAACAAAUGUUCACAUGCAAACACAGAUUUUUAAAUCAAAGGGGUAUCCAUGGGUGACAAAGCUCUAGAACCUCACCUGAGCUAAUAAGCAGAGGCUUAUAAUUGCCAUGGGUGAGUGGCACCAAGAAGCAUAUAAAGAAACAAACAAGUCUUUCCCAGAAGGAUUUACAAGUGAAUGUUUCAAAAGAUCUCGAAGCUCAGACAGCUCGGAGGAUGUAAGUAAAAUCAAGUUCAAAGCCUGAACAAGGAAAAAGGAACACGGAUAAAUAAAGAUUAUGCUGAAAAGAACACAUAAGAAGGAACUGUUGAAUAAAGCAUACGACCAUAAAAUAAAUAAAAUCAUUUUAGAAAAAUUGGUCUUUUUAAUGCCUCGGUCAUAGUAAAUUGUUUUAAUUCUAGCCACUAGGAUGUAUAAAACCAUUUCAAUUACAAAUCAUAUCACAUGCAAAUAAUUGCUUCAUUAUAUGGUUACUUGUGCACAUAUUACUUUAUGUUGUGAGAUAAAUAACAACCUGAACCAUAAUAGAUGCAAAAUCCAGGUCUGACUCUCCUUCUAGGAUAGUAGACAGUUCUCGGUAUACCCUUUCAGCAUCUAAAAGCACACAAAGUCGCCGAAUUAUCAAAGCACCACGCCUUGGGGAAAAGAAUGAAAAGAAAGGGCAGAGUCAAAAUAAAAAACACAUUAUCAUAGAUACAAUUGAAAAUACUAGCUAAAGGACCAGGAGGAGGAGGAGGGGGGAGAGAGAGAGAGAGAGAGAGAGAGAGAGAGAGAGAGAGAGACUCACUUCUCUAGAAGAGAGUUAUCUACAUGGAAAUUAUGCACGAGGAACACGACAAGCUGGCGGAAGUGUUGUGUAUCUUGUGCUAUGCAUGCAUGAACUUCAAGGACCAGGAGAACCACCUGGACAUAAAUCCAGACUCGCAACAUUAGAUACCCAAAUAAAUGCUGUUCAAUAUGUCUCUGUGCAAUUAGGUUUUCAUUAUGCAUGCUUCUGGACAUCAUAAAGUAAUAAAUAAGCUACAUUCUGGCAUACUAGGAGACAGCUCACAAUGGAUAACUACAGAGGAUAUCUGGUAAUAGGAAAGAAAGUAUUACAUGAAGACACUAUAAUUUUAUUUUUUAUUUUUACUUCUCAAAGAAAGUUCAAAAAGCCUCUGGAAAAAUACAUAAAUAAAAGAAUAAUUCACAUCAGUCAGCAGAAGAAACUCGCAGAGCCCAAGGAGAAUUCAAUAAAGUUAGUAACAAGAGUAUUAUUUAGUGCAUGACAAUGUACCACAUGAAAUCACAAGCAUCUGAGAUAAUUGAUAGUACUCAUAAUUUCAGCGGCUAAACUCCCAUAAUCCUCAUCCAUCAAACCAAACAAACAAAAAAAUGGUAACUCACUCUUAUCAGAAUAGUAGAGAAAAUGUUAAAGGAUAAACCCAUUAUGAUCAAUAUACACUGAAACUAUAAAAACAAGAGGAAGAAACACUUUAAGUUUCCUUCACACAGGAGCAAGUUCUUAGAAGAAUCACUUCAAUUUCUCUCACCAUACUCCUAACAGCCAAUUUCUGAACGAAAUCCGCCAGGGCUAACUCUCUCAACUCUUGGUAACCAAUCACUAUUGGCGAUAUACGUUUUAGAGUAGCUUUCUCUCAGCAGUACUGUUUUUCAAUCAUCUUUUUUUCUUUGAGAACCUCAACUAGUAGUCAAUCAACAGAUCGAAAGAUCCAUGUGAAUCAUAAUUUGAACAUAAUAACUGAGAAAAUACAGACAGCCAUGGAAAAAAAUAAAAAAUAAUCACCAUCCAAACUCAUGCAACCAAAUAAAGAUUAGAAAAUACAUCUUGAAACAAUAAAAGAAAAAGAUCCAUCAGACUAAAAGGAUUACCUGAUCAGAAGGAUCUGAAAGUGCUUCCAAAAGGGUGUCAAAUAUGUCGUUCAGAAAAGUUAAAACCUGUUUCAGGUAAAAAUUAAAAUAAAAUAUCUGACAAAAAAUACAGGCCCGGACAAACAGUAACUCGAUAUAUAACUAGCAAUGAACUACGAACUAUUAACCAGGUUGUGAAUCGGUAAUAGAAAUUUUAUAUUACAAUUUACACAAAGGCAUAAGUUAUCCAGUUUAAUUUUGAAAAAAGUUCAAUACGGAACUCCCCUGAAUAAACAUUACACUAGGUUCAAAAUCAUGCAACUAGAAGUGCGUGCAAUUAGAAAAGUGCCCAAUUACCUCAGCACGAUGUCUGUUUAGAAGGUUUGAAAUCCAGUGCAAUGCUUCGAUUCUAGUAGCCUCCCAUUCACUAGAUAAUUGCCUGAUCAGAAAAAAUUUCCCAAAUCACCACAAAUCCUCCAGCAUAACAAUAGAGCAUAAGGAUAAAAAACGCAACUUGAGAAUGGACAUUUCAAAUAGCUCCACAACAUGCAGACGUACUAUAUAUACCCAUGAAAUAAAAGGGCAUAUUCUAAUAACAUAUCACCCUAGGUUGUUUGGUUAGAAAAACUACACCUCCUUGCAAUAGAGAGGAUUGCUCCAACGUCAAAUCCUUCAGCUGGAUCAGCCUUAAUGGCACGAAGCUCUUCAUUGGUUUCACGAGCAACCUUUAGGUGAUGGGAAAGAAAAAUAAAAGAAUUCAGUGAAAGUAACUCCCAGAAGCAAUGAAAUCAGGAAAAACACAACCCCUCCGCCCCUCCCCCACCCCCCAACCAAAAAAAAGAAGAAAAAAAAGAAGAGGGAGGAACUUUAACCAACCACUCUAAUUUUCUCUUCUUUAUCAGAUAUGCAGGGUAAAAUCGCUCCCAGAAUAUCAGCAUAAUAGGGAACAAGCUGGUCCCCACCAAGCUUUACGAACUCAUUUAUCUGCAUAGCAAAGAAUCACAUGCAAAAGACUAUCAAGAAAAGCAUUGCUUUCAUGAGAAUAUCGAGAACAUCAUCCAUACAAACCCUAUGACAAUGAUAGCAAUGAGUAGGCAGAAAAUACCCAUGUGAUAGCUGUUAACCGAGUAAAUUCAUCCGGUGAAGCAGCCCUCUGUACCAGUAUUUCAGCCAUGCGACCAUAAUCUACAGACUUGAAGAGUAGCACUGCUCGAGUCAGAAAAUUACAAAUGAACAAGAUAUGUAGUUUUUAGAUUCAGAAAAAGGGGGGAAGCUGGCUGUGUGUGUGUGUGUGUGUGUGUGUGUGUGUGUGUGUGUGUGUGUACAUUCGGUAGAGGCGCGGGGGUAGGGGUGGGAGAAAUGACUGGCACAGGUUCUCCAAAAGUAACCAAAAAAAAAACACAUACUACAGACAUUAUUGCAGGAUUGGUGGAUUAACAGUUAGAAGUCUUACUGGAGAGUUCUUGAUCUCUUGGAGAAACUCUGAAAGUGCUGAAUCAGCUUGUUGUCUUAUCUCAUGGCUUGAAUCACUUAACAUAUUAAACAAGCCUGAUAUUUAUAAGCAAACUGUAAGUUCAUAUCCAAUUACCAGAAAAUAUUUGAAAUGAAGAAGCGCAUAAUUUUUACUAUGAAAAACAAUUACCAUCAAGAAAAUCAGGAAGAAAUCCCAGCAUAUCAAUAUCUGGAACACUGUCUAAGACAGUGAUCCAUCCAACCAAAAACUGGCGGACAUAGGGAUUUAGGACAUUCAUACGCUCCCUCAACAAUGGUAUAAAUUCUUCAAUGCUGCAGAAGGGAAAGAAACAGACAAACAAAAUUAAAUGUAAGUGUUGUAUUAUGUCUUGAGAGUCACAAAUCCAGAUCAAGAAUAUUACGCACCUGAAUUGAUCACUUUCAGUGACAAUAUCCUGCUUCAGUAUAUAAAAAGAAUUAAUAUAGAAAAAAUAAAUGUCUAUCUUGAAGACAAUCAAUUGAAAAAAACCAAAGACCCUUGCUUUCGAUUUUCCUUUCUGUAGAUGAGGAAGGAGGUUAAAUUACCUUUACAAGCCGAUCUAAAAGAUGAGCAGCACUUUGUACAUUAGCAUCUGAGUCUGCUGAAAGCUUACACAAGGCAUCAAAUAUCUUAUUAAAGAAUAUGAUAAAAUCUCCUCUUACAACCUGAGAACCAGAAAAAUAAAACAAAAUUAUAUCAAGUCCAAGUCAGGGAAACAGAAUAAUAAAUUAAUAAGUCAGCCACCUAAUCCGCUCACCUUUGCAAUGUUAUAUAGAGCUUCACAAGCAUAAUAACGAACUCUGCUAUCUUGGUCAGAAAAGGAAUCAAGCACAGGAGGCACAAUUUGCUGGCAAGAUAAAUCAGAAGCAAAAUAAAUACUCAAUACCAAUAAAGAAGAAUUUGGCAUUUAAUUGAGUCAGAAAUGUAUAUAAAUAGCUUUAAAACUAGUAAUUUCCAGAAGGAAAGGAGCUAAACUUUGAGAUGGACAGCUUAAUAUAGCUGACAUGGGACCAUUCUAUAUUCUCAUAAGCUGGCAAUCAACUCAGUUAAGGGAUGCACAAAGGGAACUUUCAAAAGGAUUACAAGUUUACAACAUUGCAUAAAGUGUUGGCAUCUCUUACAUGUCCAAUAUGAUUUAAUUCGUAAGUUACAAAUAUUUCUAAAUGACUCACUUCAUAAUUAUGAACGGAAUUGCUCCCUCAAUGUAAUGCCUCAUUUGUAACUACAUGACUGCUUUCUUAGUAAAACCUAUGUAAAUUUAAAAUUAAAUAUCACCUUCCCACAAAUUUAGCCCUAGAUCUCCAAAUAAAAUCAGAGAGGAUGAUUUCAUAAGCCAUUUAAACUUAUUUAAGAAAAAACCAAGAUUGAUAUUGGUUUACAAGCCAAGGCAUAAGUACAAUCUGCAAAGCAAAAAGUCGUAGAAGGAAACUAACUUCAAAUCCUGUUUGUCAGAUAAUGAGACACCGUACACAGUGGGCCCAUAAAACAUUAUGUAUAUGUUGGAAUUCCAUCGCCAGGAAAAUAAAAAACUUUAACAUCUUAUCAGAUCAGUCUUCACUUCCACCUAUUGGAACACACUACAGCAACAUUAUUCUGGGUAAAAGGUCAGUGUUUUAGUCAUCUAGAGUGAAAGCUUAGCACAUUGUGCUAGUUUUAACUAGCAAAACUAAGCAUCCUAUUUGUAGCCCUUGCUAUAUACUACCUCAUGAAGGUUAACUGCACACGUAACUACCAAAAUUCAAACCAACCUGGCCACAAUACGUUAAAGAUUUAUACAAAAACUUGAUUUCUAAAUAAAUAACGCCUUACCUCAAGAUGUUGAGCCGCUUCACUGGUCAAACCAACUGUUGCAGCAGCUAGUCCUAUCAAUCCUCCCUAUGCAACAAAAAGAAUCAAAAUUCGAGCGUUUGAAGAGAGAAACUUAAUCAACAUGGAAAAAUAGAGCCACGCAAAUUGAACUUCCAACUAGUCUGCCAAAUUAAAUAACUUAUAAAGCAACCCACUGGCAAACAUUCACACCAAUACCUUCCGGUGAUUCGCUUGUGGCGAAUAAGUGAAUUCCGUAGUGAGCAAAUUGAUCACCGCCGUAAUCUUAUCGUGAUCCCCAGCCGUUGUGAGCUGUUUCACAAUUCCCUCAACCUAUACAUAAACGCCCACACAUAUAGAAUUCAAUUGAAGAUCUAAUUACAACCACUCGAAACUAGAAACAAAAAUGAAUCGGUGCAAGAAAGAAAGACCUCAAGCGCGGCAUUCUUGCGCUUUUCGUAAAGCUUGUCCGCGAGGUUGCGGAGUACAGACGCGGGAAUCACUGAAAGAGCGUCGGCCAUGUCAAACCCUAGGAAUUAUAAUUUCUGGUGUAAUUGAAUUCACCGAUUGAAAGAAAACGAAUUCGGAUGUCAAAUUCGUUUCCGGAUCUUCUCCUGCUCCAAUCGGAACAUUUCUCUAGGGUUUUCGUCGGAAUUGAAAAUUCGGGAAUUUGAACACUCGGUAGGAAAAUCAGAUCUGCAGAAAUUGGGAAUGAAUCGGAAAUUGAGAAAACUGUAAACACAAAUUCUACGGAAGUUUUCCUUCCCUUUUCGUUUUUCUUUUUCUCUUCUUAUGUCUUUUUUUUUUUGUUUAUUUGAUUUGGGCUCUUGUCUGUGCUUUGCUUUCUAGUCUCAGUCGUGGCAGUCCUUUCUCUCUCUGUAUUGACUAUUGAGCGAUCUCGGAAGGUGCUACUAACAGAGGUUGGAAGUCUGGUUGUUAUGGAAAGACGGAUAUACCCUCACAUUUUAUAAUUGCAGAUCAGUUUGGAAAUGUCUAUAUUUGGUAUCUGGACUAGUUCAUAAAAUAAAAAAAUUUAUUCUAAAUCUGCCUAACCCCACGACUUAAUCUAGCUUGAUCUGUUAUGUUCUCGAUUGUAAGUUAUAAUUCAUAACCACGAUUUGAGUAGUCAGAUCAGAUUUCAAUUGAACUUAGACCCCAAAAUAUUGUCACAUAUUUAGAGCCCGUGUGAUAAUAAUUUCAAUUUUAAGAAGAAAUAGACACAUUAUUCUAAUCAAAUUUUCUAACCCAGAUUUAUCAUACUUUACAGUUUGAUCGAAAUAGUUCAAUCAUUUAGAUAAGCUGACCCAUAAAUCUACGUGCAAUUAUUAUUCAAUUCAAUCUUAAGAUAAGAUGACGAUGCCUCACCAUUCCGACUGUAGUCUUUUCUUUUUGGGGCCAUCUAAUCUUAGUAGUUUUUUUUUUUUUUUUUUUGAGAGAUUCACUAUUAUAUCCAAUAUAGAGCCUAAAUUAUAAAAAUACCCUAUAUAAAAUGGACUUUAAAAACACACCAAAAAUCCAUUUACAAUAUAACAAAGAAGCUUUUAACUUCUUAUAUAUUACAAAACUGCCAUCAAUUUCUUAAAACAAACAUAACCCCAAAACCUCAUAAAAAAACCCAAAAUACUCAAUAGGAUAUCAAAGUAAUUUAAUAAUCAAACUUAAAUUCAAUAAGGCUAGCUGUCAUUUUUUGAAUUUUUUUUUCAAUUUGUUUAUAUAAAUUUAAUGGUGUAGGAUUUAUCAAUAUUAUUAGUGCUAAGAAUGGGUAUAUCACUAAAUAUCUCUUUUUUUUCUGGUUCACAUCACAAGUCAUCUAAUCUUUAGCAGUGAUACCAUUUAUACAGUCUUUUUUCUUUCUAAAAUGCCGCUUGCUUUCAAACCCAAAAAAAACACAAAAAAGAAACCAAGGAAAAAGGUUUCACAUUUUUCAUCUUAAAUUAAAUGAGCAAGUCCAUAAAAAAAACAGAAACGACCAAGACUAUUUAGCUCCUUGGUAGCUGGGUGGAACGAGCACCUUUAGCAGGCACAAAGUUUUGAUGCAAGGCCACACGCAUAACGUCUAUAAGUCGCUGCUGUAGCACAAUGCAUAGUCGCUCCAUAGUGAGGGCCUUAAGGCCCUAUUUCUUAACUGUUAAAUCAAACUAGCCAAUGUGAUCAAACAAUUAACCAAUUUAAUCUAAUAGUUGAGAGAUAGGACUCAUCUAAGGGAUUAUAGAAUUUCACGCACAAUGCAACAAUGCUGAUAAGCCCAUUAUCAGACAUUGUUCCCAGAUCAACUUAGAUGAGCUGGCUACAACUACUCUGAACAAAGACGAAACUAGCCUAUUAUCUCAUCCUUUUCCAAAUAAAUCCAGUAAACACUCCCUUUGAAUAAUAGAGUCUGUUUUGCACAAAACUACAUGACGCAUUCAAUAAUGAAAUUAUAACAUUUUUUUUCUUUUUGGAAAAUGUUAUAUAUGUAACAAGAAAAAUUUCAUACAACACCAUAUAUGGCACGAUGAACAGUAAAAAGAUCAAAAACGAUCAAAAGAAAAGGGACUUAUCAGUGACUCUUCGAGUUCUCGAAAGCCAUGGAAAACAGCUUCAGUCUGGCUCUGUGGAAGGGCCAACCUCCGUACCUCAGUCAUAUACCUGGAAUUCAAGUUCAAAAGGAACAAAUCAUCAUACACUCAAACUCUUAAGAAUGUUUAGAGAAGGAAAUGCUCAGAUUGGAUUAUUUUUUCUGCAUUUCUUUUGUUGUAUCGGAGCAACCAUCAACUUGUGAGGUCCCCAAUUCUUUUCUCCUAGUGAAUACAAAGCAUGAAAAGCUAUACACAUCACAGUUCACAUUUGAAAUAGACUUGUCCACAUGACUAAAUGGAAGUGGUGAGACACUGAUCACCACCUGCACGUUAUUGAUUCAUUUGAAAACAAAUGACAGGGUAUAUUUGAUUGUAUAAUGGGGUAUAUUUCAUCCAUCACAAAAGGGUUUCAUGCAACAUCUAGAAUGAUCCAGAGUUUUUAAGGCUUGAUCUUGGCACAAAGAAGAUUAUAAAACAGCAAAGGUACAAAAUCUGCAUAUUGGAUCAGGUAUUUUAUAGACGUAAAUAUUAAAUUGAACAUAAAGCAAACAAAGAACGCUGUUUGUCGCAAACAAGAACAAUAAAUAAAUAAACUCACCUGUUUGCUGCACUUGAGAUCUUAUCUCGAACCCCUUGGUUAAUCCCUGAUGUUUGCUCCAGUGAAAAUGUUCCACCUAGAAUUAAAGAAGCUCCAGUAGCACUUGUACCCAUUCUUUGUGCAAACACAGACAUUGCCCACUCUCGAAGUACAACUAAUACUGAUCGUAGAAGGCGUAACCUAAGGUUUGGUGAUGGCAAAAUAGCACCACUCGUCAACAAUUGGUCAUAAGUGUUCAAUACGGGCUCAAUUGCACCCUUGCAAGCAGCAAGAAGAGCCCUUGCCACAUCUUCAUCUCCAACAGAUUCAACCCCUGAUUCCAGUCUUUCCUACAAAGAGAUGAAAUAAAAUAAAUUGAUCAGGUAACAAUUUUUUUCUUCUUCCGGUUUUUAAGUAUUUUUAAAGCUGCUUAUUCGUGUGUGUGUGUGUGUGUGUGUGUGUUUGUGCAUACAGAUAUAGAUAUACUAUCAAUAUAGGUAGUGUGCGUGUCUCCAAUAUACCAGUGCAGCUUUCUCGAGGUGGAGACACAGUGUGUCCAAGGGCAAACCAGCUCCAUCUCCAGGAUAAAUGUGAGAACCAACUCUCUUCAAUACUGAACAAGCUUCAGCAAUGCCACCCCUUGAAAGAGCUUGAUCAAUUAAUCUGGCCCAAGUAUCUCUUACAACGCUACUAUCAGCAUCACCAGAAUAGUAUGCAAAGUAUAGCAUUUCUAGACAUAUCUGAGCGCAGCAGAGAACAAGAAAAAAUUCAGUUAUAAAUAAAAACUAGAAUUUCCCUAAUUUUGUUUUGUAGUAAGGUUCAAUGAGAAAUAAUAGCAAUCACUGGCAAGCAAGAGAAAUCAAGUACCUCCCAAAGUUCAAAUGGAAGAGCAUAUUCAUUGUAUAGCUGAGUUAUACUCUUUAAAUCUAAUGACAGCUCUUUGGCCUUUUCUCGUGCAAUAUUUGCAAGAUUGGCAUCACCACUCAAAGUGCUAGUGGGAACAGUUCCACUUUGGACAGGCUCAGAUGCACCAGGCAAAGCUUCUAUCCUGGAAGCGGAAGCCUCAAGUUCCUCCUUGAUCUUUAUCUGAAAACGAAGGACAGCAAGUUUUCCUUCCAACAAAUCUAACAACCCAUCAUCAUACGCACCUCUGGUAGAACCUACCAGGCCUUCACUGUUACUUGCAUUUUUAGCCUGUAGGACUGCAUUACUUAGGUAAUGAUACCUGAAAUUGAUAAAAACCCAUUAUUACCAGUUAAGGGGAUCAGGAAUUUUUUUUCUACAGACAAGAGUUGACUAAUAUCCAGCCUUGGAUGGGUUGGGUUUAUUUUUUAAGACGACAAGUUCAAAAAUCCUUUUGAGUAGAUGAGGAACCUUAGGUCAACCUGACUUUAGAAAGCAUUUCUUAUAAAGCGACUCAAACCAAGAAUUUUAUAAUCAGAUAUUGAUAUCAAAUCUAUAUAAGAAUUAGUUUACAUGUGGUCAAAUUAAUAUAGAAUUCAGUAAAUAUAGACAUUACUACAGAAAGAUCGUACGUGGUCAGGAUUAUUAAAUGAGGCACUAGAAAUUCCCAAACGAAACUAGAAUAUUGGUAAGUGAUAAUGGAAUUCAUAAAAAUGUCAAAGACAUCCCAACCCAAGCACGAAGAGAUACCGGACAAAAAGAAACCCUGCAAAUUAUUUAUCUAGAUUUUCUGGUAAAAUAGAAUCAUGGUAAGGUGUUUGAAAAAGGAUCCCCUGAAACUCCACAAAGAACUAAGGAAGACUGAAUGAAUAUAUGCUAACCUUUGAUCUAGAGUAGGAACAUCCCCAGAAUUGGUUGAACGCCUCUCUGCCAGUCUUAGUAAUACAUGAGCUGCAAGCAGAUGCUGCCUCUUCAAGACAUAAUAUCGUGCCAACAGAUCAGAAUAUUUGGCUUGAUUGAAUGGGAUGGCUGUUCCUGAGUAACUAAUUGGAGAAGCGGCCGAUGUGACCGCAGAAACAGCCCGAACCUACAAACAUGGAAGAAACAUCAGGAUAACAAAAGAGGGGAAAGCAUUAGCACUAAGGAAAGAUAUUGCUUAAGACCAGAUGGAAGACGUUCCAGCUCUUUUUUGAAAGCAUUUGUCUGAUCAUAUUUUGAAGCAUACUAAGAGAAUCUUGACAAUUGAAAUUCAUCAUAUCAGAUCCAAAACAAAAUAACAUUAAAAAAAUCACCUCUUGUAUGGGUUCACGGCCAGCACUUUGUAGGAACGGCACCAAAUCAGGACCUCCAUACUCCAGCAACUCAUUCUCAAGGCCCAUAUCAAUCAUAGCAUGGUACAAGUACUCGUGAAAUAAUCUGUCAGGAGAUUGGAUGCCCAGCUGAACAAUCUGGGAUAUAUAUUUGUUCCGAGAGACCGGAUCAAGGGCAGAUCGCAUAGCAGCAGGCCUAAGAGGAGAACCAAACUCCCUCUGUGAAGGCUCACCUUUUAGAGAACGCAAUGCACUGAUGACAAUCUCAUAGCACUGUUCACGUUGAGCACGUGCAUGCUGUCGGACUGCUGCAUCAAUUUGGUCACUAAAAGCAUCACCUGCGGGGUCAAGAGCCUGUGCCUUUUGUAAAGGCAAGCGAACCACGGCUUCAUAAAACCUGCAACGUACUCAUUUUUAGGUUUUACACAUAACGACUUAACUUACUAAGCAUAUACAACCGAUCAAAACAGCACUGAGCUUAACCAUAAGAAACUGACCUUAAAUCCUCAAAUCGUUUGCAGACAGUUCGUAAAUCAGCAGAUUCUGGAACUUUACUCAAAAAAUUGAAGGCCUCUCUAGCAAGAUUCUCCUUCUCCUCAGGAUCUGGAAUUACAGCAGCUCUCUCAAGACACUCCACAGCUAGAAAAAACUUGUAAUCAGACUCCUUAUAAUAGCUUGGACAGCCUUCCCGUAAUCUCCCACUAAUAUCAUUUACUGCCCCCCUGCCAUCAGGACCAGUAUAAUACUGGAGCAAUGAAUGACAUGAAAAUAAUGACAUUUCAGACUGAAGUCAGAUAAAAAAACUGAUAAACAAGUGAGGGGAAAAAGGGAAAGUUUGCUAAAUUUCUAAGAAGUGAAUUUCCUCAAUGUUAAACUAAAAUUGCAUUACCUCCAUCAGAGCAGAUAUGAGCCUUGUAGCGAGGUGGUCACCCUCCUCGGAACAAACUAACUGAUGAAAUGUCAUUUGAACUAAUGCCUGUCGCAGAUUAGCAUCAAACCCCUGAACCAAGCGUGUUACAUGGUGCUGUGAAAGAAGCUGGAGCAGAAACAGGGCUUCACUGGAUCUAAGAAGCAACUGCCUGAUGCAUUCCAUUGCCCUCACCUGUCAAAUUUUUAAAAAACAAAAACAAAACAAAAAUGAGGAAUAGAAAUGAAAAAGUACAGUAUGAACACCUUUCUACACUAUAGAAAUAAGCAAACUACCUCCAUGGCUGCCAAUUCAGCGGGACUAUAUGGUAAUCUCUGCCUUUUAUUAGACAUACCACCAUCAUUAGACUCAGUGUUCCGUGAGUAAGUACCAAAUAAGUUUCUCACCAUACUGUGGUCACCACCACCUAAUUCUGAACCAAUUCCAUAAAGGAUAGAACCAGUCACAUCUCCUAAACCAGCAACACAACCAUAAAGUCCCCUCCUUUGGUUCCUUCUGGACUUCAGAAACUUCUCUAGAGAGCGAAUUUUGUUUUCAAGCACUUGCAUAGCCUCAAGAGAGAGCCUGCAUACGACUAACCCAUUUUCUGACAUUGCAUCUGCAGAACCUAAACCACCUUUUACAACCACAACAGGAAGUUCCCAUAUGGGAAAUAGCAACCUUGCAGAACACAAACAGAGCCCUUCAUGUGCACCUGAAAACACAGGCUCAGCCUCCUGAACAACCUGCCCCAUGCUGAAUCCCCCAGCAGCUGUUCUAGUGUUUGAUAAUGCAUUGCUGCCCUCAAGUUGUGGCAUUCCAACAAGUCUUGGGUCCUCGAAAGCUUCAGCUGCCUUCUGAGAAACAACAUUACUUAUAAGAGUUUCUGAAUGGACUAUCCUAGCUGCUAGCAUUAAACACAUCGCCGCUGCCUCACCAGCUCCAAAACGAUUGAAGAAUUCUUCUACGAUUGACCUGGGGAUGUUAGUCUCAAACAACCUCCUCAGAAUGUCCACAGGCCUAUUGAAAACUAUUUCCAUCAUGCCCAUAGUACUGAAAACAACAACUCGUCUCCUUGGCAAUAUAUGUUGGAUUGAAAGGUCACCUCUGGCCCAAAGUUUUCCAGUUACCUUUUCACAGGACUCAUCAGAGCCUUCAUAACCACCAUAUUCAAUUUCUGAAUACAGAGACUGUACAGUGGUUGCAGUAUCAGGCAAGGGGAAAACAUCGGCUACAAAAAGCAUCCGUCCUUCAACUGGUAAAGAAGAUACAGAUUCCCGUAAUGCCCGAGAACUCCUUGAACUUGUCCCCGAAGUACUUGACCCAGCUGAUUGUGUGCUUGAAUCGCGGCUCACAAGAAGAAGAGAAGCCAUGGUUGGUGGAGAUGAAUCAGAAAGGACAAGAGUUCCAGCAGAAUAAUAUGCUGCCUCAACCUUUAGGGAGAGAUCGUCAUUCUGAGGUCUACCAGCAAGAGACAUGCUUCCAAAGGCAAGUCCACCACCGACCCCUAGUGGAGGAGAAGGCCUAGUUGUCACAACUUUUAAACAGCUAGGUUUAUGGUUGGUAUUAAACCCACCCAAAUUUCCACUAGAUGGAGAAGUGGUAAGGUACAUCCUUCUGCCAUCGGACAAAACAGCAACAAGGUGUAGAGACUUAGAUUCCAGGGUAGACAAGGGUGAAAUGCAGACUAUAGAUGACUUUGUAGAUCGAUUUGGACCUCUAGGUCCAGUUGAUUGUCUACCCCCAUAAUGAGCAUCCCUCUGAUUUAUCAGAUUCCUUUCUUCUGCCACCUUUUUCAAUGGCCCAUCAACAUUUUGCCCCACAAUAAACACCUGAAGUUUCAUUUCUUCAGUUCGUGCAUACAAGAUGUGUCUUUCAUUAUCAAAAACCAUUUCAAUGAUGGGGUCAACAGCUCCAAACUUAAAAAGAUUUGGUACUACCCAUCUGAAAAAAAACAAAGAUAUGUUUAUGUUAAUAUGUUAUCUUUGAAAAGAAUAUUCAAAUUCAAUGUUAUAGGUGCAAAUUAGAAAAUCCACAAGCACAAUUAUUACUUUGAAGAAAGCAAAUUAAGGAAAAUAAAUAAAUAGGAUUUUCCCUUAACCUUGAAAUAACGCUUCCUAAACCGGCAGUCAGACAAACUUUUCGGCAACGCUUUUGCCAGCCUGAUCCAGUUGUAUAAUGUAGCUCAUAAAUGUGGCCAUCACGCCCAGCAAGGAAAAUACGACCCUUGUCAGUACACGUGAUACAUGUCAUGGUGAUCCCAUCAGAUGGUACUGUAUAUUCUGGCAAUGGCUGUAGUGAGACUUCUGCAUAUGGAUCUGUGCCAUCAGCCCCUCCAGAGCAACAUACUCCUACAAGAAUUAACUGAUAAAAGGCAAAGACCAUUAAGAACUACAAACUUCAACCAAGAUAAUAUAAAGUGUUAAAAAUUACAUGAUAGAACCAACUUAAAAGAAAAACUAGGGGCGAGUAUUAAAAAAUAAAAAGAUACAGCUCAAACAAAAUUCAACGAAGUGCAAAUACAGAACACCGGAAAUUUGCACCUAGUUAUGUUACUGAAUAUUCUAUUUUCAAGUUAAAUAUUCUUCUGGAGAAAAGAGAGCCAAUACUGGAGGCUUCUGCCCAGCCAUGCCCCUGUCACGAGAUAGUUUUUUUCCAAGACUCGAACUGCAACCACCAAGUUUCUUAGGGAAGACCCUAUCCUUAUAUUUAGAUAAUAAUGUCUUAGUCCAACCUAUAAAAAUGUAUCUCAGUAUAAUUUGAAGCAAUGUGCACCCCACUGGUCACAAUGUUAAGCAGUCCUCACUACACAAAAAAAGUUCUAAAACAGCAACUAUUGUACUUGAUUGGCUGAACCAAGAUAACAGGAAGUUUUCCUUAUUCAACAGCUCCAACAAUCAAUUCUUAACUCUUAUUUAGUAAGAUUACAGAUUAUUUCUUAUUUAUUAUAUAAAAAAGCUUAUAUUAUUCAAAACCUGCUUCAUCUUCUAUGACAUGGUAUCGCUGGCUCGUCAUUUUAGGUGAUCCAGAUGUUAUUGAAGGGAAAUUUUUCUUUUCUUAUUUUCCCCUUCUUCAUUUCCUUCAUAAAGGGGUCCCCUUUUAUACCACCAAGUGCACUACGGUUGAAUUAUGCCCCUUCCUUUGGGAUAUUUCACAAAUAUACAUAUAACUUUAAAGGAAAAACUUUAAGAGUAUAAUCAUGAAAUGAACUACUCUGUAUCUACAUGACUCCAAACUCACAACAUUAAAAGAAUAUAAAUGAGAUAAAGACCAACUUAAAUACCUCAACAGGUGUUGCCAAAAUCAAAAGAUACUGAAUAGCUUCAACAAAAACACCAGGUUUAGAUUUAGCAAGGCCAACAGCACAAAUAGCUUGAUCCUCCCCACUAUAUUCAGGACAUUGUCCAUCCCUGAUGAAGAAAGAAUAUUAAAGAGAGGCAAUGGAAAGCAUGUAGAGAUGAAAGCCAUUAACCAUGGUAAAAAGGCUACAAAUAUGGUACUAAUUAAUAUGUAACAAAUUGCCUACAGGUGUAUGGUAUCAUGAAUGGUUUCCUAUAUUUGUUUAUAAGGUAUCAUAUGUGCCAUACAUUGGACAGCAAUUUGGACACAUUUUCCUAUAUAUGUAUGUAUCUGUCCAUUUAUGUAUACUAUAUUCGUACGGUUGCAUGAACACACAUGAAGAAAAAGUUAAGAGAUGUACAAGAAUACAAUAAACAUUCAUAAUAAUACAUCAGAAUUCAAACUACACUUAUCCAGUUGGUAAGUGUCGUCUACUCUACAAUAAUUUUAUAAAUAAUCUCAUUAAAACGCUGAAACCAAUAUAUAAUGGCGCAAAAACACAACAUGGAUCAUCUAUAGGUAAUUUUCUGAGGUCGGAAUAUCAUGUCUUAAUGUUAACUCUAUCAGAGCUUAUUAACAGUUACUCUCAUAGAUCUCAUGGCAGACAUUUACUAUUUUAAUGAAGUCUAAAAUAGACUAAAAUGAUAAAUGUACACCAAGUCUCAAACUUUAUUUCAGUAAGGCCAAGCAAAGUUACAACCUUUACACUAUUAUGGUAAGGAAAAUUAAAUGAAGGAGAAAUAAAAACAAAGGAGAGGAUAAGGUAAGGGAAGGAAAUGGUUUUUCUCUCCCUUUGUAAGAUAGUAAGUAGUGGCCAAUGAGUUAAAGAGAGGGAAUGAGAGUAAAGGGUAUGCUAUUACAAGUAACCCUUAUAUUCUUCCUUACAUACAAUGAUAGAAAAGUAGCUUAGAAAGAUUCUCUUCUUUCCCUCCUCCAAUCUAUCCAAUUGGAAGGAGAAGUUUUUCUAGUCUUGGAAGGAUGACCUCUCCCUUCACCUCUCUCCCCUUCUCAAUCCCUAAAACCAGACAAAGGAAAAUGCCUACAUCGUUCACCUUUGUUCUUCCUCCUUUUUUCCAUCCAUCCAUUUUGACCUCCUACCAAAGUCCAAACACUUAGAGAGCACCUAUGUAGCAGUUGCUCAGAGCUUUUAACUGAAUUUUCAAUCGUGUCAAAUAAAGUUUAUAUCCAUUUGAACUUCAUAUUUAUGAAAAUAAUGUUAAAGAAGGAGAUCCCUCACACAAGCAGAAUGAUCAUUAUCAUCGUUAGAUGAAAUAUAUGUUGUAUCUACCAAGGUAUGUCCUCCCCAUGUUUAACUUAUUGACUUAGCUUGUCAUCUCUAUUGUUUUGCAGGUCACUGACUGACAGAUAUCAAUUGUCGUAUCUAUGAAGUGAGAAUAUCCAUAAGCUUAAUUAUGAUCUACACCUUGGAAUAAGAUAAACUUUUUCUUUCUUUUCACAGUUUUUUAUUAGCAAUAUUAUCAAACUAAGACAAUAAACUCACCACUUGUCAAAACGCCAGAGAAACAAGGAAUUAUCUACCGAUGCCCAUGCCCUACGAAUCUCAGGAAAUAUCCCACAUAAUGAAUUUCCUUCCCCACCAGCUGCAUUAUAUCUUUCAAUAAGUACCCCAGGCAACUCCCAAGUAUCCACCACCUCAACCAAAGGCGGCCACUGCAAUGGAAUUAAACAUCAUCGUAAAGCUUUGAAGAAUAGAAUUGAUUUUAAGUUAUAUAAUAUAUCUAAACAAAGUUAUGAUACUACCACAAUGUCAGAUUAUCAAACAUCAAGAACAUGAAAAAGGCACUGCACAUGAGCUGAAAAUAAUCAUAGCCUUUUUUUUUAAAAGCUUAAUAUACGAGCCUUACAACUGUAAUACAUCAGAAAAAUACUUUUCUCAAAAUUAUAUUUAAAAAAUAAUAGCAUAAUAUUUUACUACUGUUAAGAUCAAGUAAUGUUAGGAAGAAGGAUACAGUUAACUCAUUGAAUAACAGAAGAUCAAGUGUAAUAAAUAACUAUAAAAGCAUUAAGUUUUAUCACUACCCAGUAGUACCCUGAUAAUGCCCAUAAUUCAAUUCAAGGUUAUACUAAUUAUGAUUGAAACUUCUGUGAACUCCGAAUGCUCAAUCCCACCAAAAAAAAAAACACAGCCACGCGAAUAACAUAGCAGCCAAGCCAAAAAUCUUACCAAGAGAAACAAUCAUCCCAAAACUAACACAUUGCAGUCUGAGCCUUAUAUUUUUCACUUAUACCACAAAAAUCGUAGCUUUUAAUUCGCAUAAACAUGGAAAUUACCUCUCUGGGAUGAGUAGAAUAGGGGUGACUAGCGUAUCUGGAAGCUUCUAGGGCUUCUUCAAGAUCAAGCUGAGACGAGACUUCUCGGCCAAUGCGGUCACUCACGACGAGGCCCGCAUUAGUGACAUCGCGCAUAACGAUUUCGUCCUCCCAAGACAUGCCGUUGGAAACCCUAGAACUCUGAACAAGAAAAUUGCACAAAUUGAAACACUGCCUGCUAGAUUGAAUUGGAGCCGGAAGUCGGUUUUCCCUCCCUUUGUUGAAACCAAACAGGGCAAGUCUUGAAUUGGAGAGCACUAUUCACACCGCUAUGGUAAAGAGCGUUGGAGUAGAGAGAUUUGUAUUAUAGGGUUUUGGGGAGGCUUUGUUUGUGGCGGGCAAAUUAAGCUACUUUUGAAAAAACCGGAGGGGCCGGUUCAUUGAACGGCUCGGUUCGUCCGUGUUGAACUAGGAUUUAUUUGUUUUUAAGAGGCCCGAAAAAAAAAUAAUAAUAAUGUGACUACCAAUAGAACAAGCAUGAUUUUCAUUGACAAAAUACAUGGAUACUUUAGGUUUUACCAGGAGUGGACACAGUCUGGAUUGAAUUGGUUUCACUUCAAAAUCACAGUCGAAUCAAUUACAAUAUAACAAUUUGGUUCAGUCAGUUUAGGCCUAAGUCCAAUUAUCUUUCCUUUUGCAUUUUUUCAACAUUAUUAGACCAAUUACAACAACAAAAUUCACAACUUGAUGCAUACUUUUUUCAUUUUCUAGUGUACCAAACCGUCCUAAAACUCAACAUGCCAUAAAACUUCAAAAUUCAAUAACUAAUAUAGCUACAAUUCAACAUUCAUAUAUAGUUAUUUUCUAAUUAGAGGACUACACAUGUAAAAUUAAAUAUAAAUAAGUAUACAAGUAGGUCCGGUUCAAUUUAGGCAAAGUUUACAAAAGCUUAAAAUCAAACCAACCCAAAUAAUAUACAGUCUCAUUUGGUUUUUAAACCAUUUGAAUUUUUCUUGGUCAAAAUCAAAUCAAAUCAAAUCAAACCAAACCGGUAAUUAUGAAUUGAAUCACCGAUUUAGUUGGUUCGACCAUAUUGAUGCCCAUCCCUAGAUUUUACACGACCGGUUUAUAUAUGCUCACACUCCCCCAAUUGAUAUUACACAUAUGUUGGUGCUUAAAAAAAGCCUUGCCAAGAGCAUGCGAGAGGUCUUUUUAUUAAUCACGACGAACAUCUAGAAAAAUACAAUUACAAAUAUAUAUAAAGUAUUUUAAGUCGCCAUACGAUAGAUCUAUCCUAAGUAAAUUUCAUCGAUAUAGGUCUAUCGUGACUCGGUCUAUGCUGCCGAAAAAUCUCACGCUGGGAUACGUUUAUCGUAUCAAAGAUUCGUCAGGAUAGGUAUGCUUGACAAAAAAUUUGCGGGAUAGGUAUACCCAACAAAAAGAGAUAGCUCUAUUGCGACAAAUAUUUGCUGGCAAAGGUCUAUCACGACGAAUGUUUCGCUGAGCUAGGUCUUCCCGACAAAAAAACUCGCGGGUCAUGUAUAUCCCGACAAAUGUUUUGUUGGGCUAUGUCAACCCAACAAAACUUAUGACAGGGUUGAUCUUUCUGACAAAAAUUUGUUUGUAUCGGGUUAUGUUUAUCUCGUCAAAGAUUCGCAGGAUAGGCCUAUCCCAAAAAAAACUCGCUGGGAUGGGUAAAUAUUUUCAUAAGUUAGUUUCCCUUGGUUGACCAAAAAAAAAGAAGUUAGUUUCCCUUUUUUUUUUUUCUUUUUUCUUUUUUAAAUAAUGAAAAUAUUUUCCCUGUUCGCCCCACAAAACAACCUUUUUGCCCAAAAAGAAAGAACACAUAACAGUCCCUCUCCAGUUAGGCAAAAUAUAGAAAUCCCUAGCUUCUCAUAGUCCCGCCAAAAUGUGGUCUCCCCGUUCUUAUUUGUCUUCAACACUUUCCUAGAUUGAGACGCAAGACGACGACGUAUUGGUACUCACCGGCAUCGUGUAAGCUAUGACAGUUUCCAGUGCCUUCAACGCAUUCAAGUCAUCUAAAUCCGUCGUCUGGAAAUCCGUAAACACACUCUCAGUCUCUGUAAAUACAUACAUGACUUUACAUCUCCCUCCCUUUUCCUCAAGUCAUUUUCCGGUUGAUUUUCUAAGCAAUUUUUAAUGUCUGAAUGUGAUUUGUAUUGUUUGAUUACAGACUGGUAGGCUUCAGCAAACCAUAGCGGGAUGCAUAGAGCGGAAGGGGAAAGGCUUGCACAGUGGAAAGGUCUCCACGGUGAAAUUGUGGCCAGAGCUUGUCAGCAAAGGAAGGUACUUUGAUUUUCAGCCCAAUGUGAUACGAGCUUCGAUUGAGUUUGCUGAGGAAUCGCCUCUGUGCACCACUCUCUGUAAAGAUGGGGUCAAAAUUCGAACGGUUGAGCACUUGCUUUCUGCUUUGGAAGCUAUGGAGGUUGAUAAUUGCCGGAUUGAGAUAAAGAACUCAGACCCCGAAGAUUUCGAUCUUGAGGUUGGUACCAUAUAUUUGUGAAUUUUCGAUUUGUCUUGAGGAGGACUUGCUCUUGAUUUCACUAGGAGACAUAUCAGGGGGGAAAUUACACAUAGUAGGUUAUUGGGGGCGCUUGAACUGUGUAAUUGCCACUUCUAAGAAAGUUGAGGCAAUCUGAAUUUAGAACAUAGAGAACUAUUGAUUCUUGAAUAUGACAUAGGAAAAGUAAUAAUGCCCAAAAUCAAGUCAUGCAGGUUCCUAUUUUUGAUGGGUCAGCAAGUGAGUGGGUAGAGGCUAUAGAACUAGUUGGCUUAAAAGAGGCAACAGAUCAUUGUGGCAACUGUUGUGAGAAGAUGGCAGCAUAUGUGAAUGAACCAGUGCAUGUGUGGAGGAAUGAUUCUUUUGUUGCUGCAUUUCCAUCACCAGAAAUUCGUAUCACUUACGGGAUCGACUUUCGACAGGUACACAUUUUGCUGGAUUGGGAAUUCUCUUCACUGACAGCAUGGUUUUGGAAUGUGAAACAAAGAAGUGUUCUUAUUAAAUAUCCUUACUUGAAAGAGAUUGGUUACUUAAUGAGAGGAAUGGCUAUCAAAUAUCUGCAGAUUAUUUUGUUUUUCUCGCUACUUCUUUGUCCAAAUGUGAGAAUUCAUAGGCAAAGUUUUGGGCAUGCUUGUUUGACACUUUCUGCAGGUGCAGGCUAUUGGCUGCCAGUGGUUUUCUGUGACCUCCUUGGAUAACUCUUUCUAUUCCAAGCACAUUGCUUUGUCAAGAACCUUUUGCAUUUAUGAGGAGGUCAAUACUAAACGGUUCUCCAUUAGUAGUCUUGAAAUUACUUUCUGUUUUCUGUUAUAGCUUAGUUAUAUAUUGUUGAAUUUAUUAUGGUAAUGCUUGACUCCAUGUUCUAACAGGUGGAGCGAAUGCGGAAUGCAGGACUCAUAAAAGGGGGUGGAUUAGAAAAUGCACUUGUUUGUAGGUGAGACGCUCCAUUUAUGUUAAGUUGAACUAGUUAGGAGAUGACAUGGGUUGUUCAAAUGCGAAUUGGGUGGACUGAAGUGACAAUUGCCAGUUGGAUAUGAUUUUAUUCCAGUUAAAACAACGAGUUCAGGCAGAGAAUUUGUUGAAGCGUGUGGGGAAUAUAUCAUUGUCAACUUGAUUUGGGAGAAAACACUUAUAGUACACUUAAUCCUAUUUUUCUUUUGCAGUGCUAGUAAAGGUUGGUUGAACCCACCACUGCGUUUUCCAGAUGAACCUUGUCGCCAUAAGGUCUUAGAUCUUAUCGGCGAUGCUUCCCUGUUUGCAAGGUUUGGCAGUCAAGGGUUUCCAGUGGCACAUAUAGUGGCAUACAAGGUAUAUACGUUUGUCUUAUAUUCAUGUCUAAGAAGAGCUUAGAACAAAAUGGUUAUGAGAUAUUAAGUCCAUUGUUUGUUUGUGUGGCGUGUCACGCAGGGUAGCCAUGCACUGCAUUCUGAUUUUGUUCGCCGGCUAUCAGGAAUUAUAUAAAAGGAUAAUGUCUUGGUCCUCUAGAUGUCAUUGUGAUGUAGCAACGAUCCAGAAAUUCAGAUGCAGAAAUAUGGAAGUAGAUUACAGAAGUAGACCGGCAUAGGGUUUCAAGUUUCAACCUAAAAGUGCGCAUAUUACAGAAGUAGAUUUACCCCGGUAACUGCUUGUAUUUGAAAAUUGGCUUGGUGAAAUGAUGUAAAGUUGUAUGCCUUCAAAUUGUGUAACUACUGUUCUCGAUCAAGGCAAAAAAUUUCCCGGUAGGACAUUCUCUGUGAAAGAGUUAAUUAGAAACCAGAUAAUCAAAGCUUGGUUCAUCAAUUUAUACUCCUUUUUUUCUGUGCCUAUAAACUAGGUCAUGCACUGCAUUCUGAUUUUGUUCGCCGGCUAUCAGGAAUUAUAUAAAAGGAUAAUGUCUUGGUCCUCUAGAUGUCAUUGUGAUGUAGCAACGAUCCAGAAAUUCAGAUGCAGAAAUAUGGAAGUAGAUUACAGAAGUAGACCGGCAUAGGGUUUCAAGUUUCAACCUAAAAGUGCGCAUAUUACAGAAGUAGAUUUACCCCGGUAACUGCUUGUAUUUGAAAAUUGGCUUGGUGAAAUGAUGUAAAGUUGUAUGCCUUCAAAUUGUGUAACUACUGUUCUCGAUCAAGGCAAAAAAUUUCCCGGUAGGACAUUCUCUGUGAAAGAGUUAAUUAGAAACCAGAUAAUCAAAGCUUGGUUCAUCAAUUUAUACUCCUUUUUUUAUGUGCCUAUAAACUAGGUCAAACUCCAACUUCUGGUAGUCAACACAGUGAGCCUGGCGUUCAACAAAACGAUGUUAUUAGUUCAUAUAUAACUAAGACUACUGCCAGAAUAACCGAGUUACACCACACAUUCUUAGCAACCUCAUAUCAACAGAAAUACAUAAUAAAUAUGUAAAACAAUCGUUUUCCUUGCUAAGAAAGGAACCCUAGUAACACAUUAAGAUGUUGAAGCCUGUAUCUUUUUCUCCAUCUUUGCACAGGCAUGAAACAGCACAGACGAAAACAGAAAGAAUCAAGACGACUCCAAAUGGCCGGAAAACGGACAAAAUGAGGUCUAGUUAACUAUGCUGUAAUUCAAUGUCAAUAAAUAUUUAAAAUCUUUGCUCUUUAUGCCUUGACAUUUCUGUACAUACGCCACUGUGUGCAGAACCAACCACUUGCAAUGUCCUGUUGAUCCUUCAAACCGGUUCAUUUCCCUUGAGAAUGUUGUACUUGCAGAGAGGACAUGUUGCAUUCAUUUUAAGCCAUUUUACAAUGCAAGUAGCGUGGAAAUGAUGAUUACAGGGAAGAGUGUGAAGCUCUGUACCAUCCUCAUAGGGGCUGAGACAUAUACAACAUUCCUGGAAAGAGAGCCAAAACCAUACAUCUUUAGAGCAUAAAAAUUCUUCAUAAAUUUCCAAAAUACCAUAAAAGCACAAAUCGCUUUAAUAUUUGGCCUGUAAAAGAUACCCAUUUACCAACUGACCCUCAUAAGUACAUACAUCAGUAUAACUCUCUGGCAUAAUAUGGAGGAUAAAUGGGGUUUUUCUUAUUAAAAUAAAAUUUUCUAAUCAACUAUAAUAAACAGAUUGAGUUCAACAUAAUAGGAGUAAUAUACUGAAAUAUAAAUGCAAUUCAUGAUAAUGUGAUGCCAAAGCAUACCGCGUCCUCAGGUAAAAGUAUACGCUCAAUUGCUAAGUACCCACUGCUUGUUUCUACUGGAAUCAUUUUCCCUGCUCCAACACUAGAUUUUUCUUCACUGCUCGAUCGAAAUCUGUAUUUUGGAAGAAUACUGAGAUCUGCGUCAGAUGCACCUUCCUACAUUGUCACACCAACAAAAGAAAAAAAUCAAGUCAAGAAUAAGCAGUUACAAUUUCUUAAUUUUGUCGAUAAAUUUUUGAAUCAAAGGUAUAGGUUAUCACUUCAAACCUGUCCAGCAACCGCAUAAAGAAUUGCAAUGAUGCAUGGCAAACAGCAACAAAGAGCAACUCCAAUCAAACAUGCCAGAACAACACAAAAGAUGGCAAAGAAGACAUCAAAUGCCAGAAAAACCACAGCCAACCUGCACACAUUCAGAAUAAAAUAUAUAUUUUUUAUUCUAGAAGUUACAAACUUUUUAGAUAAUUAGGCCGUUCAUAGUCUAUAGACACACAAAGAGAUGACAGCUCAGGGUGACUCUUGUGUUAAAAUGGGCUGACAGUCAUUACAGUUUUAGCACUAUAGAAACUUAAAGUAAGGUUUUAGUUUUAGAUGUGAUCUGCCCUGGCCCAGCUUUUGUAUUCAUCUCUAACAUUAUAAUGCCAUAACUCCCUUCUGGUGAAACUUUUUAAAAUUCCUAAAAGUUGCUUGUUUUAAACAAAUUAAAUUACUAUAUUAUAAAAAAGGAAAGAAAGAAGACACGCAUACAUGCACAUAAUUUGAGAUGAAGGAAUAUUUCUUAAUAGAUUGGUUAUAGAAAUACCAGUACAAACGUGGAGCAUUUUGCAGAAGAACUUCACCGCCAGCGACUACCCAAUAAAAGCCAACUAUCCACCAGAGAAACGAUGCCAUUGUGUUCACUGUUUCGCAUCGUUUAGAGAGACUAGGCCAUAUAAAAUGCAGUCAGUCAGUAAUUUAUAGACCUUCCACAAACAGGUACUAAGGCAGCACAUGAAAACUCUAAUUGCAGAUAAAGCUGGGGACUGGAAAUACCAUAGGAAGUAGUCAUAACAGUUUGGUCAAAUUCACAAACAUAUUUUGCAUGCAUCAUCCCCACACAAAAUGAAAUGUAGAGAGCAAAAUAUGAGCAACUUCAAGAUUAAAGCUUUGAUGAGUUAAGUUGGAUUUUUACAAACCAAAAAACCAAAAAAAGUGAUGAUAUGAAUAAUGCCAGAAUCAUAACUAUGAAAUCCAAAACGUUUCCGACUGUCAUUCCCCAACUCUAAUAACUUCCAAACAAGCAAAGAUGUCAAUAUCCCAUCUUGGACUAUGCAGUAAAGAUCUCAGUCGGAUGGCAUACAAGGACAAGUGGAAUUCGAUUAUGGGCUUAAAUUAGUCACUAAACAUGGUUAUGACGUACUCUAAAUAUCCAACCACCACUACUAUCCACCUCUUAUGUGAUACAUAGGACUCAGCCAAACUCAAUUUAUAUUGUGAGAGAGCAACCCCAUUCAUCAAGAUUACUGGGUUUCAGUGUCCACUUUGAACUCCAUGAACCAUAACAACUAUAUCCAAAAGCAAAUUAGAAGAAACCUGGAGCGCGUGGAAAUCGCCAAAUCCCUAGCUGCUGCUGCUGCUUCUUCAUCGUCGGUAUCAUUUGCAUCGAUUUCGACCUGGUGCUGGUUCUGCUGGGCGUCCUGGUUUCUUCUACUGAUCCUCCGAGCAAUAUUAUUCCUUCUCUGGUACUCAACCCACACCAACACCACAUGGACGAAACACUGCAGCGCAUAUCCACAGAUCCACAGCCGGAUCGGCGUGUUUGGGUGCUCAUGGUCUGUCCAUAUCAGCAUCGCCACCGACACCACCACGAACGCCGUGUUCCACAUCAUGUCCAGAGCCACCACCGGCUUGGAGUAGCCCCAGUCGGCGCGCCGCUCGUCCAGUUCCCGGGCCGCCGUCUCCCGCACCAGCAUCGAGGGGCCACGGCGACCGGUGGCCCGCCCCAGCAGCAUCGCCAGCGUGGCGGGUCGGGCGGUCGGGGAGCCGAGGUCGGAGGAGUCGCGGCCGCUGCUCGCCUGGCGGGGAAGGAGGAGCGGCGCAUGGGACUCAGCCGCUGCCGCCGUCGUAGCCGAAGAUUCCGAGGACAUGUUUGUGAUGAAAUUAUGAGAAAAAGAGGCAAUUGAAUUGCCAAUUAUAAUUGAGAGAGAAAUAGAGACAUGAUUGAGAGAGAGAGAGUGUGUGUGCUCGCCUCUUCCUUCCUAUAUUACAACUGUUAGUAUUAGUAUUAGUGAGGGAUAUGGUGAUGGGUUUGGGAAUUGUGUGUGUCUUUUUUCAAAGUCGCAAAGUCUCAACACUUUGUGUUUUGAAUGGUAGAUAGACAUGGAUGAAAGGUUUUUGCUGGUUUUUUCGUCAUUUCGGUAAUUGACUCCUCUUUUGAGUUUUUGCGCCAAAUACCCUUCUUAUUUGCCAGCGCACGACGGCACACCGCUCAGUUUCUUUUUUUAUCUUAAUUGAUCAGCCUCAAUUUUUCUGCCCUUUAAAAACUUUCAGCAGUCAAAUUUCUUUAUUAAACAAUGAGAUAAUGAGACAAAGGCAUAGAAACAAGAUAUAUUUAGUUAUAUAUUCAUUCUUAACACUAAUAUUAUAAAUAAAUUAUAUACAAUUGAAUUUCUAUAAACAAACUUAAAAAAAUUCAAAAAAUGACAGCUGGCCUUAUUGAAUUUAAUAUUAAUUAUUAAAUUACUUUGAUGUCCUAUUGAGUGUUUUGAGUAUUUUUAUGAGAUUUCAAAGUUUGGCUUGUUUUAAGAAAUUGAUGGCAGUUUUGUAAUUUAUAAGAAGUUAAAAGUUUUUUUGUUAUGUUGUAAAUGAUCUUUGGAUGUGUUUCUAAAGUCCAUUUCAUAUGGAGUAUUUUUAUAAUUUGAGCUUCAAUAUUGUGUAUAAUAGUGAAUCUCCCUAAAAACAAUAUAGAAUUUUUCGUACUAAACUUUUUUCGUGGAUUCAUCGGUUCAUUGUUAAAAUUAAAAAAAAAAAAUCUCGUAGAAGAGAGAUGUUUUUACCUCUUUUUUUCAGACGAAUUUGUAGAAUAUGAUUGAAGUGUAUAAUAAACAUGUGCAUAUCUAAAUCUAACUAUAGCUAUCUAUAUAUACAUAUGCCGCUUCCCCUUUAUUAGAGCUCUAUUCAAAACAUGUUAUGCUCUAUUAGAAUUUAUAUUUUAUAUUCAAGGAAAAAUUGUAAAAAUUUAAACAUGAUAAUUUCCAGAAAAUUACCUAUGGGUAUCAUAUACAAACAAGAUACCCAAUUAGAUAAUAUUGUGUAACAAUUUAUGUUCUGGGAUUUACAUAUCCCCAUAAUUGCUGUUAUAAUUGAAAUUGAGAAGGAUUUUUUUGUAUUGGAACAAAAUCAAUACUGAUUAGUUAUGUAUCAAUUUUGAUUUUCUUAUAUCAUUAUAGUUAACGGUUCCAGUUUGUUCUGAAUUUUUGCUUUUGUGAAUGAAAAAUCCAAAUUUUGUUUUUUAAUAUUAAUAACUAUAAAAAUAAAAAAAAUUUAAAAGGGAGAUAAUUUGUUGUUGCCCACUCUAUUUAACAGAUUGCUAAUCAUAUUUGUUGUAUAAAGAUGGAAAUAUUAUGGAUGGGUAGAUGAUCACUAUGUGAUCUACAAAGGUACUAUAAAUGUUUUUGGAUUGUAGAGAUCCGGUCGCUUUCUUUCAUUAAAUUAUAUUCGAUACGUUGUCAAUCCAAUUUUCCCUUCACUCAACCAAAAAAAUAAAAUAAAAUAAGUUUUUGAAGAACAUAUAACUAGUGUCCUUUCAUAUUUUAUUUUAUUUUAUUUUAAAUUUUUUUGAAUGAAGAAUUAUUAGCUUCCUUUCACUCACCUAAAAUUCAAACGUGGUAGCAGAACCCCUUUGUGCCGCCAACAACUAUACGUGCUGGUAGGGCAGAACUACACGUGCUGGUCCUCCCUAAUGCCGUCUGACAGACACUCUGAUUGCGGCGCAACGACAUGUCGUGAACUUGUACUCAAACACGCGUCCUCCCUCUGCUCCAUGAAAUCCUCAGUAACAACAUGAGUCAGCCAGGCUACAGACACCCUUGUUUAUGCUGAUGUACGUUAAAAUUUUGACAGAUGGAAAUGAUUUUCCAUGCAAGCUUCUCAUCUGCCGUCCCCCAACUGCAGCAGAAAAACGCUGCUUCUUGGGAUUUGUUUUGAACAUCCAUUAAUCUGUAAGGGCAGUUGUUCUUCAAACAAAUGGACACAUGAAACGACUCCACUUGAAGAUGAUCCUCAAAAUCUUGGAUGUUCCCUUGAGAAAAUUCAUUUGACAGUUUUGCAGACAAUUGGCGAAGAAGCCGAGAGCAUGUCUCAGAUUUGCAAAGCUGACCAUCAUUUGUUGUUGAACUUUUGGUCUCUCCCAAGUGGCCAAUAUCAGCGGGGCAGCAAUAAGCAAAUUGAACUUGGUGCUUCUUUUCUCCUAACAUGAGCAGAAGCUCGUCUUGGUGUACUACCUUCGCUUUUUUGUUUCUCUCCAUAACCAAGACCCCUUCUGCUACCCUUUCAUCACUUACUCGCAGUCGCGGAGUGAAAUUAUUGUUUCUCGAAUUUGAACCGUGUUCAUCUUCUUGGCUGCUUUUCGAAAACUUGAAGUUUGGAUUUGAGCAGCUUCGGAUAAAUGCGUCCGAAGCUAAUGCCUUCACAUAGUGGGUUGAAGAAAUUGAGACAGUCUCAUUGUUUGCAGGGUCAUGACAUUGAAUUCCCAGUUCGGACUGUAUUUUUCCUUUUAGAGUAGCCAUUUUAGGCUUCUCGCCAUGAACAAGUAUCACGUUCUUUGGGGAAAGAAAUUUGAUAAGGUCCAUAAUCCCUUUGGCAUCUGUAUGAGGACUGAAAGACAGAUGAUGAAUCUGGCAAUCAAAAUUGAAUGUAUAAGAGGACAAUCAUGAAGAAAUGCGAAAAACAGAAGAAAACUUCUUUCAAUUUGUAUUUGUAAACAAAUCACCUCAUGUGUAAAACUAUUAAAAAUGAAAAUUCAAUGGAAACAUUCUUGAAGAAGAAUGUUGAAACUAUUGUAAAGGGUGAGAGAUGAAGUUGAACCUGGCAUCGCACAUCAAUUUGCGUGUCCUUGUCCAGAUCAAUUUUGGUGGGUUUACCCGACAUCAAUUUAUGUCCUAUAGUUCCAGCCACGCAAUACCUAGAAAAGGACAGAAAAAAUUGAUGACUAAAAGUUCAACUUGGCACCCUAUUCUUUCUUUUUUCCUUUUUUUUGUUCCGCCUAUCAAGUCCCAGCAAACCAUAGUAUCAUAUGGACAUAGAACAUGACGACAUUGUCUUUAAAUUUUAAACAUCAAAAGAGAGUUACAAUGUAGAUCAACUCAACUGGUAACUGAAAAAUAUAUUCCAGAAUUUACUAUGGUGUUUGUUAUAGCGAUCACCUUCUAGGUUCCAAAUUCCAACCCAAAAGUUUCCUAUUGAUAUCUGAUAAUAAAUUUGAGAUUUGGAGAUAAAUGAAAUUGAAGAAGGCAGUUACCCGGGCAGUGUAACAAGAUUCAUUUCCGAAGGAGCCCAGUGCUUGAAAACUUCAAGUGAAAAACCACCACUGAUCAUCCCUGGUGUGGCAAACAGAACACAAGGUCCAGGAGCAUUGAUCAUAGAACGGUCAAACUUGUGAGCUGCAACAUUCAAAACAAAAAAAAGUAAGAUGGAGGGCUCAUUAAACAACUAGUUAUCAAGCAAUGAAAUAAUAUAUUCAAUAUCAAUUCUCACAAAGUUAACUUAAAAUGUAGAUACUCGUAUGUCUAUAAUACUGCUGUGUGGUUCUUCCUUUUCAUCAACAUUUUAUAUUGCUACUUGAUAAACUACUCACUCUUAAUCUUUUCUGCUUUAAAUCCCAAAGAACAACCUUAUAUAUAUAUUUUUUUGGUUAUAACAACAUUAUAUCUUGAUUUCCAAGAAACAACAACUUCAGUCCCUCAGAAAUUUAAUAACAGAUAAAAUAAGUACCAUUUUUAAAAUCAAAUGCAUUGCGUGUGGAGUACGUUUCUUUAACUUUCUGGCUGGUCCAACUGAUAAGCAUCUUAUAGUACAUAUUGGCUUGAAGGGUCAGACCUGAAAUAAUAUCAUCAGUAAAAAUUUGAAACACCACUGUAUACCAAGAAAGAAAUGAAGGCACCCCUAGAAAUUGAGAAACUGUAAAAGAUUUGCCACAUCAGAAAAUUUUUCACACACGCAGAUAAACUUCCAGAAUCAUGUCAAAGAUGAAAUUAAUAACACUUUGAUCCCUGCUAGAUAGCUACUUCUUGUUUAUACAUUAAUUAUCACUAAUCACAAAUUUCUAAGAUUUAUUUACCCACGUUAUAGGUAUCAAAAUGUUAUCAGAUCAAGAUUGGUGCAAGUAACAAAACUUAGAUUGCAAAGUAUCCACUUUGAUAAGUGAGAGCAUAGCAUACAGUUUGACCACAUAUCCUGCAAACAGUUAAUAGAUGUGAGAGGGAAGUACAGAAGCUAGUGCAAACCUGCUGAGAAGUAAAUAGGAACCUUUAGAUUCAUGCGCUCCCAAUAAUCUUCCAGCAAGAUACAGAGCUCCUACAAAAUAAUAGAUUACAUUCAGAACAAAAUGUCACAGCCGGGGCUCAGAAUUGGCUACGAAAAUCAUUAGCACUAAAAUAAACAGAAUCAAGAUCAAACAUAAAGAUACAAAGAAUUAGAAUUGUUGUAGCAGUGUCUGGUGUCAUGAAUUCAAGGCGUUAAAGUUGGAAUAUGGUUGUUUAUUUCUGUCAUAUAAAUGAUGGAUUUUUAACUAGAUAUAAUUUCCAUAAAAAUCUAAAUCUAUUAAUACAAAUCCAUUAUCUAACUAGCUUGAAAGGCAUCAAUACGAUAACAAUGCUGAUUAAAGUAUGAAAGCUUAAUAAGGACGCGAAGGCUAACUGCAAGGAACUUUGUAAUUCAGAAGCAAUUAUUCAGGACUUCAGAGGUCUCUCUCAUUUUUCCUUCUUAGAACAGGAAGAACUUCCUUCCAAGUACAAAAUAUAAAUACGAAGUCAAAGAAAAAUGAAACUCUCUUAAUUAGAGUACCUGAGCUCUCCCAAGAGCAAAUGUUGGAAUUAGCACUUUUCCACCACCAGCGACGCAUUUGUGAACCUACAUAAACCUAUAUUAGAGAUUACCAACAAAACCACCUUCAGAGGAGCAAGAUAAGAAAAUCUUGCAUCCAAUUUUGACAGCCACCAGUUUCACAAAGGAAUACAUAUAUGUAUGACAUGUAUGACAUCAUCAAUAGAAAUUGAUUCUUACGGCAAUGAGUUGCAUGUUAAAGAACCAAGAGUUUGAUAAUUAUGACUCUUUACACUAGUUUAAAUUAUAGUAUGAACUGUUGAUACUUCAAUUUUGUCAUUUACGUACAGCUCUGAGAAAUUCUCUUUCCCGGGCAUAUUUUGAAUCCCGGAUGGUUGUUCCAUAUGUGGACCUGUAACAGGAAAAAAUAUCUAUGUAUAAGCGAGUGCAUGGAAUGGAACACAAAGGUUUCAUACAUUAAAAGAAAUUGUACUCAGAGUUCAUCAACAAAGGACAUCCAAUGUUUAACAAAUGAUAAGGUGCAAAGUCAAAUAAUAUACAAGACAUAGAUAUCCCAUACUCUGAAAUAAGAAGGUCCAAAUUUAGUCGUUCAAUUUGAGCUGCUCCAAGAUGCCUAUCUGGUGUCAUAUUAUAGUCUCCUGUGUAUACCAUAGCAGCGUCUCCCACCUUUGCAUAAAACAUUGCAGCUCCAAGAACCUUAGAAGAAAAAUAAAUAUUAGGACUCAAGGAAUGACACACGAAAGUGACAAACAGUAUUGACUGUUCCAAGAAAAUUAUUAACGAAAUAGGAGAACUAUAAUUCUUUUCUGGUGUGUAUAAGCAUGAUAUCAACAGAUAAUGUAUUCUAGAUGUGAGAUAAACAAGACUUACAUGUCCUGCAUAGUACGCACGGAUUUGAAGGUCUUUAUCAACCUGCACUGUUUGCUUCAGAUCCACCGGUAUAACUGCAUUGAGGAACCAUAUAAAAAAGUAACCAUAAAACAAUAACAGAAUAGCUGAAUUUCAGAAAACAAAAACAACCCUUAACUUGUGAAAAUUUUCAAGUAACUUAUGACGACUAAAUCUUCAACUGGUUCAACAAAAUCAUAAGAAAUACUCAAGUACCUUUCUUCAUGCAUUCGGCAAUGUGAUCAGAAGAAAACUGUUCUUCCUCACCCCUUCGCUCAACCAUCACUUUUCGAUAGUCCUCCAACAUUAUAGGAGCCAAUGCCUUUGUCGGAUACUGCAGGACAAUCACGAAAAACCGUUACAACAAGAACAUCAAAAUACCAAUUGACACAGACAUUUUCCCGAGCACCUUACCGUCAUGUAAAUGGGGCCACGAUAUCCGCAGACUUCAGUGAAAUAAGGGAGGGCUCCAACGUGAUCCAAGUGACUGCCCAAUUGCAAAAGAUCAACAAAUAUUGAGGUAAGUCUACUGAACCAUAAAGAAUUUAAAAUAUUAGAGUUGGUUUUUGUUUUCUUUUCGUACAAGUGGGUGAUGAUGAUGCAAGUGAGGGCGUGAUCGAAGUUCGGGUCGGGUUCGGGUUUAGGAAUGAGAGAGAAGUCGGGGUAGCGUUGGUGGUCUAGAUGCCCCAUAUGCAUUCCGCAGUCGAACAUGAUUCGCUUCCCAUUGAUUGUCACCACUACACAGCUCUUACCUACCUCUUGCCCAGCGCCUGAUGACCCCAAAAAUAAUUAAUUAAUUAAUUAAUCAAUUUAAGGCAAAAAGUAAAAAAUUCUGGGAGAGAAUAGAAUGAAGGUGAGGGGUAUAGUUACCGAGGACGAGAGAGUCGAUGGCCAUGAGAAUGAGAUACGCAGCUUCUUGGCGCGCUUUUGAGUUUCGGCGUUUGAUUCGUUCGUUUUGUGGCAGAAUUUAAAUAAAUAACAGCCGAAUUAAUGAAAAAUUGAUACAAUUACGGGCUUUACAACCAAUGGCCCAGAGAGAUUCAUGACGGACCCGGCAUCGAAAACAGGCCAACCGAGCCAGCACUAUCCAGGAAAGCAUAAAAUAUAGGUUUUUUUGGGUCAUUAGGAAGGGGAGGAAACUUGAACCCAAGACCACUUUAGAGCACACCAAAGACCUGGAUCAGUCCAACAAAACAUAGGAAUUUUGAGGGAAUGAAAACCAGCUAACACCCCAUUGGUAAAACAUACGAAUGCAAUUAACCCUACACCCUAAGUCUGGUUUUCGAAUCCCCGUCCAUGCUCUAUGCCUUUGGUUUCAGUUUUAGGUUUAAUCUCAAGGAAAUCACACACUGAAUAUCAAUCACAAUUUCUGCUUGCUGAACCCUACUCUUAUUUCUUGUUAGAGAAGACUCGAGAGAGUGAAGCCCAACCCAUUUCAAUUUGUCAGAAAGUUUCUGCUGGUUUAUUUCAUUCCAGACUGCAAACGACAAAGAGAACGGCGUAAGUAAAAAAUAAAAAUGAUGGUUUUGAUUUGAGGCCCCAUUUCAAACCAUAGUAUAUAUCAUAAAGCUAAUAACAUUAUAGCCCAGUCCCCUAACGUGAGCUUGAUAGGGACUAUAUAGGAAUUUAACAUUCUACCAGACAUACAUAUAUAUAACCAACAGUGGACUAUAGAUGAAUUAACACAACCACAAAAGAUCUGAUCUUGAUCUGGUUACAAGAAUAUUAACAAACCCUGAACCAACAACAAUCACACUAGCUGCAAUUACAAAUAUAAACUGCAAAAGAUAGAACAAAAGUAAAAACCAAUAAGCUACCUAUACAACACAAUCAUUGCCCACUCACGACACCACAAAAGGUUAGCCCAAAGUCAAUAAUCUUCUUCCCUUUCUCUUCUUUUCUGCUGAUCUCUAAGCAUGGGAAUAACAAUCUACGUCAGAAGCAUACCGACUUCUUUCUCUGAGUUUGCCCUCCUUUUUGGAUUCUCUCCUUGCCAGCUUUGGUGAACACAGUAUCAUCGGCAUGCCAGCUACAAUCUUUUAAUCAAUCACAGUAGGGGGGAAAAGGAAAAAUAAUAAUAAAAUGUGGAAAAUGGAAGGAAGAACAAGGCCUAUGCAGAUUAACGCCUUUAUGCAGUUGCAAAUUAGGAUUUUUGUCAUUGGGUGCUGCGUGUUAACCCACCUCGUGCCAAACCUCUGCACAAAUAUGUGAAACACGUCAACUUCUACAAGUUAUGUAAAAACAAUAAUCACCACCAUAGCCACAAUUAUUCUCAUCAGAGCACAACAUUCAUAUAGUGGUUGUACAUUUAUGUGAGAAUGAGAUUUUAAAUGAUCUGGCAGUUUUAUCUUUGGAAAGAGAAAAAAACAUAUGUUUCCUAUAUACGCUCUAUAUAAUUUGAAGGUAUAAAUAGUAAGUACCAAGUGUAACAAAUUUACACAAAUGAGGGGAUAAAUAUCCUAAAGCAAGUUGAUCCAUCAUCGCCAAUCUCUCUAUUACUAAGAAAACUUAAUAAAUGGUACAACCAUAAAACUAGUUUGGCCUAAGACACUACAGGUGGUAAGAGAUUGAAAAAUAAUUACCUUCCAGAAAGAACCUGAGCACUGUUGACAGAACCUUUGGCAUUACCAAACCGCUUGGCCCUAUUCUCAUGUUCUUUGUCCACACGCAUGGCAGCCACCUCCUUCUCCAUGGCAGCAACUUCUCUUCUCAUUUUCUUUGCCUCAACCUCCAUUGCUUUAGUCAAGGUAUCUACCUUCUUAGCCAACAUCUGAAAGACAAGAAUCACAAAUGAAUACUUAACCAAUAGCACACAUUACAGAAUAAUAGACUGAUAGAAAAGAAUAUCGACCUCGAUAGCGUCGUCCUUAUCUUUCAGGCUUUGAUCUUUCUCAUGUCCAGCUUUCCUCAAAGCUACAACCUCUUUCUGCAGCAAAUCAUACAAAACCCCUGGAACACUAUCCUCUAUAUCCACUGUUGAGAAUUCAUUUGGCUUAUCAUCCGAAUUUCCCUUCCAGUUAUUUUGUGCUUCACCAUCCUUGGUUCCCUCACAAGAUUGGUUAACUGAGAAACUAGGGCUUGUACCAUUUAAGAGAAGCUUACCCCUGUCCAGUGACCUUGUACCACCAUCAAAUGAUUUUGAUGUGCCUUUAGCAUGCUUCAACACUGAACUGGUGCUAGAGGACAAAGACCUGACCGGUGUUCUCUUGGAUAAAUAGCCAUUGGAAGUUAAUUUUGGAAUAUUAUCAGCCCCACCCAGAGACUGGCGUCGAGAGGGCCCAUUGCUUGUACUUCUUCCCUCAGCUGUGCUGCGAUUAGUACUGCUAGAAGAUCCUCUGACACUCUCCUCAAGCACUUUAAGUCGCAUAUGGUAUUUUUCCUGUUAAAUACAAUAGAGAACUUUUACUCUACAUAACAUCCCACCUUUAAAUUACAUACAAAUUUGAAAUUGAUGGCAGAACUGGAUUAUUACUUUCAACUGAGCUUCGGACUUGGCGGCUCGCUCAGUUAUGGCAAGCUUAUCACGGAGUUGCUGCAUUUCUCCCUGUAAGAACACAGUUUGGCAAUUACAGUAAACAGUAAAGCCAAACACUGAAAGCUCAAAGAAAGUCAGUAAGAAGCUAAGAGUUCGACCAAAAAAGAAGAUAAGAACCACUACCUGCAAGAAUCUCCGUUCUUCAAGCCAUUGUUUUACAGGCAUCACUUUGUCAUUAGCAUCUUUCCACUCAUUUGCUACCACUACAGCUACUCUGUUUGCUGUUACUUUUGCACGGGCCAACUCCCGGUCUAGAGUUUUCCUUUCCUCCUGAGAAACACAAAACCAUACCUCUUCAAUCUUAAGAAUGCUUUCAACUACAGGUUACAGGUUAACAAUAAGCAAAAGCCAAUAUUGAGCAUCUAUAUAUGUUUGGCAUAUUACAUUCAUCUCCUGGAAUUUCCGCUGAUAAUCCCUCACAGCAUUUGCCGCUGCACCUCCAGCAAGAACAGCCUCUUCCAACUCCCGCACAGUCUGAGUAAGCUUUUCAACCUCGGCAACCUUUUGUCUAUGCAUCUUGUCUAAAAUUUUAUUUUCUUCCUACCACACAGAAGCAGUAGAAAUAUAAAUCAUCCUAGUCGAACACCAAAAGCAGGAAACUAUAAUAUUAAAUUCCCAACACCACCGCCAAAAGAAGAAAAAAUAUGUCUAAUGCACUUAAAGAAACGAAUAUCAUGCAUGACCUUGCACUUACCUGACAAAUUUCUAUCUGUUUCAUUAACUCUUGGUUUUUAUUCUGAAGAUCAUCCACCAUGGAGGCCUUAGCCAAAGCAACCUGAACAGUCCUCUCAGCCUCAAGUAGAGCUGCUUCUUUUGAUUUGGUAAGGCGAUCCAAAGCUUUGUUAUCAUCUUGAAGCUUUGCAAUCUGUAAGCAGCAAAGUAACUAAUUAAUUAAACUUACAAGUCACCAUAAAUUCCGUCUGCUAGGGUAACACACAAAGUACCUCUUGUCGAGCAAGCUUGAGCUCAGCCUCCAGAGGUGCAAGAAUGGCUUCAAUUGGAGGCAUAUCAUCAUCCUUUUGGGCAGCAUGAACCCUGCGUAGAGUAGCUUCAGCUGCAAACUGAGCUGCCAUGGAAGCUUUCUUCUCAUCAUUGAUUUUUUUAAUUUCUAGAUUCUGCAAAACAUUUUUUGACGAAGUAGAAUUGUGAUAACAAGUAUAUAUAACCAAAGUGAAAAUAAGUUUGCGAACUUUCAGAUAAGUUGAGACGAGGAUCAAAUUCAAAUAAUACUUUGCUUUCUAGAAGUGAUUCUGUUAACUUCAGCUUCUCCUCCACCUUCGAUAGUUCAUCAGUGAGCUGCAAUGUAAUCAAAACACAGAAAAAUAGAAAAGUCAGCAACCAUUUUAAUGACAUACUAGUUAAAUGAGAGAGAAAACAAAGGAAAAAAAUUCCCCUAAUAUUACAUAUAUCAAAAUUUAAGAUUUAUGAUGUCCAGCGUUCCAGAUUAUCAGAAAACAAAAUUCUUUGAUAUCUCUCAAAGUGGCUAAUGGAAACAAAUGCAAGUGUCACAAUAAAGGAGGAAACCAUGAGCUAUAUUGCAAACAUGAGAAAAUGUACCAAUUAAGGCUGUUAAGCAUUUUCCUUCUCUCUCUUUUUUUCUUUUUGUUCUUUUUUUGGUGAACAGGACUGUUGAGCAUUUAAGCUCACAUGCCAACAAUAUUCCUAUACAAGUAAUACAUUACUAUACAUACCAAAAUUUUGGGCCAAUUAAAAUAUGUUACCCCAGAACUAAAAAAGGAAUAAGAACUAGUUAAAUUCUUUUUCAGGAAGAACAAGUCAAAUUCUUAAUAAUCAACUUAUGCUAGUUAGUCCUCCAGAAAUGGAAACCAAAAAAUAAAUUAACCCUUGCCUUGCCCCUGAGUUACUAGAAAACAGAUUCCCUAUUGAUCAUAAUAAUUGUUAAAAUAGCCAUCGUCUACUCCUGCAAUUCCCAGGAUCCUAAAAUAUGGGCUAAAUGUAACUUUUAUUAUUAAGGAAGAAACACGAAUAAGAAUAAUUCUUCAGACGUGACUGAUAUUGCCCGGAGAUAAGGAAACUAUACAAAUUUCAAUUUAAAUAAGAUUUGAGAUUCAAAUUCAAGACAAACACAUAAGCUGCUUGGCAAAGAUGCCAACCUAGAAAAUCCAGAAACCAAUAUUAGUAUACACACAUGGACACGCACAAAAAAAAAAAAAAAAAAAAAAGAGCAGCUCGAAAAAUCAGCGUAAUAGCAAAUGACGAAAAUAACCUCUUCAACAGCCUUUUCUCUGGCUCUUUCAGAGAGCUUGAGAGCCUUGAUCUGAGCCUGUGCCUCUCCUAACUCCCGGUCCUUAUCUGCAAAACUCACCCAAAAACAACAGUCAAAACGGAGAAACUACACUCUAAAUCGAGCAAAAGCAGUAGCAAAUCUCGAGAAAACCAGCGGAUCGAGCCGCAUUCGCACCUCUGACUUCAUUCUCGAGCCGAUUGAGCUCGACCUUGACCGGAUCCGAGCCGUGCAAGAGGUUAAUGAACUCGUCGCCGUCCAUGCUCGGCCUCAUGAAUCCUCUUCUCCGCGAUGAACUCUUCCCCUCCUUGAACGAUCCCGACACCGUCAGUGGCGGCGGUGUCGGAGUAGCCCCCGGAGCCGGUCCAUUACAGCUGAACUCCGCCACCGGAGUCGUACCUCCGUCGCCGGAAACCUCAUCCAUAGCCGAUCUGAGUAGCGCACACUCUUUCACAUCCAAAUGCAGGUCAGGAUCCGAAAUGCCUAGGGUUUCAAAUCGUAGAUAAAUAUACAGAUACGCAGAUUACAGAUAUGUAGAUAUUGAGAGAGAAGGAGAGAAGGAGAGAGUGUUGAGCUUUUGGGAAAAAUGGUGAUUUUUAGAGAGAGAAAUGGAGUGGGUUUUCUCUUGCUUUGUAUUUUCUCUCUCUAGAUUGUGAUUUAAAUCUGGUUGUGGCUAGAGAGAGAGUGAGUAGAUUUAGUUUGAUUAAUUAAAUAGACUGGCGAAGAGGAAUGGGGACGCUUUGCUGUUAAGCAGACACUAGUGCAUGCGACUCUCAGUAUUAUUAAGUAAACUCCUUCAAACAGUUAAUAAUACUCCUACUUACUUUGAUUUGUUUCUUUUUGUUUUUCUUUUGGGCUUUGGGCUUUUUUGGUCUUGCGAUGUUUACUUCUAGGAUAAGCUGGAAGCGUAAUGCGCACUCUCACGCAAAGGGAAGGCCUCUGGGUACCGUAUACGCACAGUACAUGGAUGCGCAUGGUAGCAGGCUAGCAGCGCUAUAUAUUUCAGUAAUUCUUGUUUUUUUUUUUUUCUCAUUGUUAAGAAUUCAGUUUUUCUAUUCCAAUUGUUAUUACAACAAAGAUGACAAUAAAAUAUUAACGUCAUAUACAUUUCUAAAAAUAUAUAUUUUUAAAAUAGCGACUUUUUUUUAAUUAACGGGUCACGUGGGUUCGAACUUGACAUUUUUUUCAAUAUUGAUAAUCAAAAUAUCAUUAGACUAAGAGCUAAUUAGAGCAUUGGCAAUAGUUAGAAUCAAUGCAAUUUUAUUGCAUGAAAUUGAUCAAAAACAGUAAAAUCUCAUUUGUAAUAGUGUGAUUUAGUUCAUUGCAGUAGAGGGUAUGAACUCUCUAUUGCAACCAUGGGUCCCACAUGCAAAUAAAUAAAUAAAAUUACAGCAAUUAAUGCGUUAUGUAACAUCCGCAAUGGUUGUUCAAUAAUUCAAUUAAAUAUAAUAAAUAUAUCAAUUAAAUUUUUUUUCCAAAUAUAUUAAAAAUUGAUCUGUUUUUAAAGAUCUAUUUGAGAAUAUUGUAAUGGUAUAUUUUUUAGUGUUAUUAAAUUUAUCUUUUUUAUUUUAUUUGAGUAUGUAAAAAGACGUGUAAAUAGAUAUAACUAUUUAUCGAAAGCUAUUGAACCGUACAAAUGCAAGUAAAAACUGCAGUUCAAUUCAAUAGAUGCUAAAAAAGAUCAAUUUAUUGAACUAUUGAACAACCAUUGCGGAUGCUCUUAGUUAAAACAUGGUAUACCUAACAUUUUAUUUCAAACUCUUUAUUUUGUGACAAAUCAACCUAGUUUUUAAGAAAUCCCUAAUUCUAUCACUUUUCUCUCUUUUUUUUUUCUUUUACUUUUUUUUAUGAAUAAUCUAACACUCUUUCAUAGUAAUAAAAUAUAUGCAACUAUCAAAAGAAUUUUAAACAUGAGAAUGAAAGAGAAACAAAUAGAAAAUGAGGCAUUUAAGUUUUUGUGAGGAAUUUUUUAAUAUUUAGUACGACAUUACUAGUAUAAAUUUUCUAUACAACAACAUUUGAGAGAGGCCAGUGCCCAUGGCAUGCACUGGCUCCUUAUCACUAUGUUGUUUUUCAAUAGGAGGAAAAUUAUAACAAUCGUAUCAAGAACAACUACUUGUCUAAAUAGACCCCUUAAAAGAAGAUAAUAUUCAAUGUUAACCUUGGACAGGGUAGCUAGUGAGACUGCCCUAGGCUCACCAUUCAGAGGCCCCAAUUUGUUAUUUUUUUAAAUACGGUGUUAGAUUAUAUUUAUUAUAUUUUUAAAAACAUUUUAUUAAAAAAAAAAAAAGUAACAUGGGGUCUUUCAACUUUUUUAAACUAUAGUUGAUUGCAAAUUUGAAGUUUUAAGUUUGUUGUUAUGGAAGAGGAUUUCUCAAAUUCCAAGUUAUGCUGUUCUUUGUUUAUUAUUUGAAGUAUUAAAAUUUUAUUGGAUUUCCUUCUACUGUUUUUUAUUACAAGUUGCAACAAUUCAUGAAAAAACAACAAUCUGAAAUUAAAAAAAAGAAAAAGAAAUUAUUGAAUUGUUACAAGUAUUUAUCUUGCUUAUGCAUUUGAUUUGAAUAAGACAAGUCAAAUUAUAUAUAAGGGCUUAAUCUUUUACAUUUGUUAUGGAUCAUGAAAAUUCAGGACCGUCCUGAUAAUAUUCCAAAACUUUACAUAUGAAAAAUGAGACAAGUUGAGCAUCUAACAUUAUCUAUUUGGAAUGCAUCAUUUUCUCUAUAAAUGCAUGGAAGAUUUUAUUCCAUAUGGCCAACUAUGAGGCACGCUCGAUUUUCAAAUACAUUCGGAGCAUGUAGAGAAAGAUUUUUGUAUCGCAAACCUCAUUUGGAUGAAAGGAAGGAUGUGGGAAGUUGUAUGAGCCAUUGCAUUGCAUGCAUAAAUCCAACUCUGAUCUGAACAGUCUCAUGGCUCACGAUGAAACAAUUAUCACGGGUGCAAUGUCUAAUUGGGACCAGUAAUAUCAAAUUAGAAAUUCAUAAACAGACUCGAGAGUGGUAAGUGUCAUUGUCAAAUAUUGAGAAAAUAACCAAAGAAAACUGUAAUUCAAGUGAUAUUGUAGUAAUCAAAUAUUAAGGGCAUGGCAUUAUCAGGCAUUAUUUAGGCAGUAAAUCACUUUCGCCCACCUGCCCAAAAUCAGUUCGCCAAUAGCAUCGCAGGCCAAUAACGGUUUUGGUAUGCUCAGCCCAAUUGGAGACUCAAUAUAUGCAAGAAGACUUAUUACAACAAGUAGCAUCUUUGUUUCCUAUAUUAUGAACAAGCCCUGGAUGGAGUAUGCUCAAAUUCUCUCAGUUUUUGUGCACUUUUUGGGAUAAAAUAGGAGGGGGAUAAGGUAAAGAAAUUGGAAAAGAUAGCAAAAGCUGCUGCAUUGGCCUUUUUGAUAACGUUGCUAUCCCUUGAAGAAUCAACAUGACUGGAAGGUCGAGUGAGAUAUUUUCUUUUUUUCUUUUUGGGUAUAAGUAGAAAGCUUUAUUUUAUAUAUAUUUUUAAAAGCUCUUAAUCUGGAUUUCAGUAGGCAUAAAAACGGAUUUGAAAGUGAGUGAAUGGGUUGUGUCCCCUCAACCACCUAAACUAUGCUUUUUUCUGAUUUCGAAAUUUAAAAACAAACCGCUCAUCAUAUAAAACACACAGUGACACUUCACAAUUUGCUGCUUGAGGUUCAACGGCAGAGCGAUGCUGACACUACACUGACUGACCACCUGUACGGCCUCUGAAGAUUAACGAUGGGACCCAUUUUACUCUCCCUCUUGCCACUCUCUUCCCUAAUUCCAUUAUUUUCUAUCAGCAAAGCUCCAUCGCCUGCCCUGCAGUCAU
rnacentral:lncRNA from 1 species